rnacentral:lncRNA from 1 species
CAAAAAUUGUAUUAACCUUAAGGUGCUUGUUCAUGUAUCAACAGGUCAGUAUUUUAAAAUUUAAACUGAACCACUCCUAUCUACUUUUUGUCUCGUUGAAUCCUUCACUUUAUGUCAAAUCAAAACAAUUAAUGAAGCAAUUAAGAGAAGGAUGAUACAUAAACUCUUUAAUUUAAUCAGUCCUUUUCAGUUUUCACAGUUACUGUAUGUGUUGGACUCACUUUGUGAGUUUGACACAUUAAUUUAAUAUAUCAUUGCUAGAGUUUUUUUUUUAUAAGUAUAAGAUUUACAUUAAAAGAGAGUAAAAUGGGUCCUUCAACCUUUAAUAUAAAGAGAUGCCAAAGAUUGAUUAACUACUCAAUUCUCCAUCCCUCACUAAUUAUAAAUCACAUUUCCCUAUUUUUUGGAAUUAAAAGAAGGGUUUUUCUUUUGAAAGUAAAAGAAGGGGUCAGUACCAAUAAAUUUAUUAACUUUUUUAGAUUUUUCAUGAAUUUCAUUUUUCAAAUUAAAAAAAAUAAAUAAAAUCACACUAUAUCUUUCAUACUAAAUAUAAGGAUAAGUUAUUUCAAAAAAAAUAUAAGGAUAAGUUUGAAAAAAAAUAUAUUUUAUUCAUAUAAAAUGACUUAUAUUAAAAAAAUACUUUUAAAAAUAAUUAUACCGCAUAUGUUUAUGGCAGGGCUACUUUUGAAAUACAUAAAGUUAAAAAUUAAAAUACAUAAAGUUUUUUUUAUAAGCAAUAGAUCAUAUAUAUUGAAAAGAAGUACAAGUGGUACUUCAACCCAAUACAAGUAGAGAUGGAAGAGGAAGGAAUGUACAAAUUUUUUUCAAAUUAAAAUAAAUAAAUAAAAUCACACUAUAUCUUUCAUACUAAAUAUAAGGAUAAGUUAUUUCAAAAAAAAUAUAAGGAUAAGUUUGACAAAAAAUAUAUUUUAUUCAUAUAAAAUGACUUAUAUUAAAAAAAUACUUUUAAAAAUAAUAUACCGCAUAUGUUUAUGGCAGGGCUACUUUUGAAAUACAUAAAGUUAAAAAUUAAAAUACAUAAAGUUUUUUUAUAAGCAAUGAAUCAUAUAUAUUGAAAAGAAGUACAAGUGGUACUUCAACCCAAUACUACAAGUAGAGAUGGAAGAGGAAGGAAUGUAUAAAUUUACAAUAACCAACGAGCACCACCAAAAUACUAAUGGUUACCACCUCCCAAAAGAUCAAAGAAAAAAACCUCAUUAGGAAUGUACAAAUUUACAAUAACCAACAAAAUUUAAAAAACUUGGGUCACAUGGGGUCUAAUUUUUAUUGCAGUCUAAUCUUUUCGAUAUACAAAAGUUCUUAUGCAAUCCUUCACUUUUUGUCAAAUCAAAUCAAUUAAUGAAGCAUUUAAAUAAAUGACGAUAUAUACUGGCCAUCUCUGGUCCUGUCAAAAUCUUUAAUUUAAUCAGAGUCCUCUUCACAAUUAUGAGUGAGAUUAAAUAACUUCACCAUGUGUUCAAAAAAAACUUAACUUCACCAUGAUUAAUCAAUAUAAUUCACAUGGCUUCAGCAUAUGUUUGUGGCGAGAGAGGAGGGCUGAUAUUAGAGGAUCCAUGCCAAUUGGGUGUGUCAUUAAAUGGAGUGCCAGGACUAGACAUUGAUGUGGAAAAGAAAGUGGUGGAUGAGAAAUUGAAGAUGCUUAAAGAAGAGGGAGCCUCAGAAGAUGAAAUUAAAAUGGCCAUGAAGGACUUAGGUAUGAAAAGGUAAGCAUCUACCUAAGCUUCCUUGUACUAUAUCAUAAAUUAUAUUUGUCCAAUACAAUGUGAUUACGUGUCGAAAAUAUUCAAGUUUUUCGAAUUCUAAACUACUUCAUUAUAGAGCUUUAAUACAUGUUAAGAACUAAUUAUUACAAAUAUUUAUGCGGUUGAUUAAAUGAUACAUGAAUGACUAUAUUUCUAAUUGUAACUUAAUUUAUUUCAAUAAAUUAUUAUAGAGCAAGUGUAUAUGGAUGGCCAAACACUUAUGUCUUCACAAAGGCGAUGGGAGAAAUGCUUGUAGGAACUUUAAAGGAAAACAUGCCUGUUGUUAUUCUACGCCCUACAAUUGUUACUAGCACUUACAGAGAACCAUUCCCUGGCUGGGUUGAAGGUGUAAGGUAAAUCCCUAAAUUUUAUGUUACUCAGUAUGUUCAUGUGCAUUGUAAUGUAACCACAUUAAUUGCCGAGAUUUCUCAUACCUUGGGACAUUUUUUGCAGAACCAUAGACAGUUUAAUUGUUGCUUAUGGUAAAGGAAAAUUGACAUGCUUCCUUGCGGACAUUAAGGCGGUUUUUGAUGUGGUAAGUCACUAGAUGAAGUUUCUAAUCUUUUCUUUAUAGGCCAAACUUUUAUUGACUAAGUACUAGCUAGGGAUGUUUGUGCCCACAUUUACACCAAUGGACCUGAAAAAAAAAAUGCUAAAAACAACAGAGGAAAUGAAAACUGAGGGAAAUCAUGCACUAAUAUGUGAAAGAAGGAGAAAACAACUCAUAACACGUUAGAAUUAGCUUCUCUUUCCCUAGAAUAAGUUCUGGUAAGCUGAAGUUACAUACAGAAGCUACUUACCAGAAUUAAUUUCGGAUUUAAUAUCAAAUAUAGAAGAAUUUUCAAACAUGCUAUUAGAAGAUAUAUAUUCAAAUUCUAAGACUUCCGAAGAUGAAUAUCAUUCCACCCACCCAUGGAAAAAAAACAAGAUUUUGUAAAAGAUUAACCAGCUAUUGUAUCAAGUGAUUGAACACCAUGUUUAGAAGAGGAUCAGUUCCAUUUAGAAAACACCAUGUUACUUAGUACAUUACAAUACAUUAAGAAAGAGCAAGCGCAUAUAUAGACUAUUAAUUAAUGGUGUAAUGUUCUAAAUCAAAAAUACUCUAUACAUUGCAAUACAUUAUUUACUUAAAAUGGAUGUAUUAAUUUAUGCUGAGUUUGAAAUUUAACAGAUACCAGCUGACAUGGUGGUGAAUGCAAUACUAGUGGCUAUGGUGGGUAAUGCAGAUCAGCGCCCCUGUGAUAUGAUAUACCAUGUUGGUUCCUCUGUUGCAAAUCCAGUGAGAUACCUUAAUCUUGAAGACUACAACUUCAGAUAUUUUUCUGCAAAACCGUGUAAGGACAAGGAAGGAAAGCUUGUCAAGGUUAGCAGAGUCACAAUAUUGGACAACAUGCCUAGCUUUCGGAGAUAUAUGUUCAUCCGCUACUUGCUUCCACUAAAGGUCAAUUCUAAUCCGUAGAUUCUGCUUUGGAUUCUUUGAUUCAUGCAAUGCUUAACACAUGGUCAACUUUAGUUACUACAUGUUUGGAUCAACGUUGUCACAGACUCAGCUGAUGUUUGGAUGUACCUGUAAAAUUGAUUUCACAUGUGGAGUCGGAUCCAUUCGCCACAACAAAUAGUUGUUUCUGCGUUAAACAUAAUCACAUCAUUUUAACACACAUUAACCAUAUGCAAUUUUAGUAUUAUGUGCUAACGUUGAUCCAAGCGCACACAGAGUUGAAACUGAAGUGAUUAACGUUUUGAUACAUUUAUGCUAAGUGAUUUUUGCGGGGAAUAAUGUAAAAUCCAAUUGUUAAAUACCACAAUUGAUUAUGUUCAACACAAAUUUGAGUUUGGAUGUGAAAUUAAUUCCGCAUGAUGACUCCCAAAUAUCUCUAUAUCCAAAUGUGACUUUACUGAGUUUCAGGGUUCCUAACAGUAAACCAAACAUACACUUAAAUUUUAAGCAAAAAAGAUGCUAACUUGGUUUGCAUUUUUAACAGGGGCUAGAGCUAGUCAACACAGCUUUCUGCCAAUAUUUUCAGGGAAUGUAUCUUGACAUUCACAGGAAGAUCCACAUUGUGAUGCGGUUGGUUGACCUUUACAAGCCUUACUUGUUCUUCAAUGGCGUGUAAGUUAACCACCACUUACUUUACUUUGUAGUAUUUAACAUAUCUUAUAUAUCAAUUCACUUACAUCAAUGAGCUUGUUUGAUUUGUACACAGAUUUGAUAACAUGAAUACAGAAAAGUUGCAAAUAGCAGCAAAACAAGGGGAAGCAGAGAUGGAUGUGUUCUACUUUGAUCCAAAAAUGAUUGAUUGGGAGGACUACUUCAUGAAUAUCCACAUUCCUGGCAUCGUCAAAUAUGUUGUCAAGUGAUACACAUGCUCGGGAAUCUGAUAUUGUUUGUAGCUUUUGUCUUAGAAGCUAGAAUCCCCAUUGAAUUGAACAUUAUGCUAUCUGAGAUUAUGCAUUGGUGUGGUACCAAUUUAUUUAUAUAUAUAGCAAAUAUUUGAACUUCUCAUAAAAAAGACUCAUAAUAUUUCAUUGUUAGUUUAUUGAAGAAUUGAGUGGAAGAUAGAUGUACUCAAUUAGAUAACAGAAUAAGUUAUGAUACAACAUAAAACAAAACAAGAGCAACAAGAAAGCACAGAAAACUUGUGGCAUGCGGCUCUGGCAUUUUAAUUAUCGAACACCUUAACUACAACCUGAACAUCCCCCUCACUUAAUUCACACAUGAGUAGUGCUAGAAAUUGUACCAUUGUCGCUCCUCAAUCCAGUACCAUUGCCCCAAUCUGUAUGGCCAGUUUCAAUGCUUAAGGGCGCAUACAUUGCCAAUGCCUUUGGUUUGCAUACCACUAUUUUGGAGUCCAACAUCAAUCAACGCAACCUAAUAUGUUAAAAAAGAGAAGUCAAGCGAGUACAUACUUCUCAUACAAUAUACUCCUCUAGUAAUACAAAAAAAUUGGGCUUAUUAUUAAGAAUCACUAAAUACUAAAAUGGGUCUAAUUAGUGCAUUGACUUUUUUUUUUAAAAUAUACAUUCUUCCGUAUUUAUCAUUUGUCAUUUUCUCUCACUAGUAAUCAUUGCAUUAAUUAUAUUUUACUAUACUUAUUGAUUUCCACCAAUAAAUGGAUUUACUCACCACUCAUAUACCAAAAAUCAUAAUUAGUUGAAUGAGUAGUGAUUAAUAGUAGGUGAUAAUUAAAAUUUUAGAAUUGAAAACACUCAAUUAAUAUAAGGGUAUAUAUGGAAGAGUACAAUAUUUUUUGUUGGAUUAUUGUAAAAUGUCUUAUAGUUAUGAACUUUUUUUAUAGGCGAAUGUUAGUGAUUGGUGGUUAGUAAUUACAAAUGUUCCUCCUCAGGGUUUGAACCCUAGACCUCUAUCUCCAACACAUAUUUCUACCCUUAGAUCAACCAAGUGAGCUACUUUUCCCACCCCUAUAUUUAGGAACAUGAGAAAUGUACAACUAAAUCUUAUAAAAAGGUACACGGACAGAGUAUAAGCUAAUAAAUUAAUACUGUAAAAGUUGAAUAUAUUGACAAUACUUAUUUUUGUUAGAAUUAUUAUCAAACAUGAAAUCAAAUUUGAAUGUGGUUACAAGUAUAAUUAUUUUUUUUUAUUUUCUAUUUUGUAUCUAAUUUUUUAUGUUUUAAAAUCAUAUUGAUAGAGGAAUUUCAUAGUUUAGUUUUUCUCUUAAUAUUUCAAUUUAGUCCAUCAAAUGACAUUGAUUGUAAUAAUAUAACAUGAAUAUUGAGAGAUCUGGUCUCAAGGUUAUUUAUAUCAAUCCAAUUCAGCUUUUUUGAAAGAAAAAAAAUAAUAUAACAUGAAACCUGAAUCAUUGCAAUAAUUAAAAAAAAGGAAAAAGAGAUGAAAACCAAAAGAUAACCUAAUUAACAAAAAUCAAAAUCGAACAAAAAUCAAAAUCGAAGUGAAAUUGAGAGAAAGCAAACCAAAUCAAGAAGAAUGAGGGAGAAUUGCAAAUAAGAUCGAGAACUCACCUUGAACCAGAUCGAGAAUGUGAACCAUAUCGAGAAGAAUGAGAGAGUGCAAACCAGGUUAAGAAGAACGAGAGAGAUCGAGAAUGCGUACGAGAAAGAGAACGCGAACAGAUCCAAAAGAAUGAGAGAGAUCGAGAACCCUCCAGAGAGAAAGCGAACAAGAAAGAGAGAUUGUGCGUGUCGCAAAUGAGAAAGAGAGACUGCAUGUCGUGAAGAAGAAAAAGUGGGUUGAAAAUGUGUUAUUUUAGAAGUUUAACUAUUUUAAGUUUAAUUUUGGAACAUAAAGGUUAUGUAACAAGGAUUUUACUGGUGAAAAUAUCCUACUUUUAUUUGAAGGCUAAAGUCCCAAAAUCUUGUUGUGGCAUUUCUUGCAACUUUCCUUCAUAACAUUAAAGAGAAUGUUUGGUGGAACAGAUGGUAGGUAUCUUAUAACUAAUCUUUUUUCAAAACUAAAAAGUUGCAACUUCUCUAGGUGGCACUAUCUCGGUCUCUCCCUAAUUUUAUUUUACUCAUUUAUCAUACUAUAAUUAGUAACUUGAUGAUGCUAUAUAUGAUUUAUGCGUAUUUUUUACUUAAUAAUAAAUAUUUUGAAAUAUUAUUUUAUUAUAUAAAUAUAUCAAAUUAAUUUUGAAAAUGAUGAUGUCCUAAGAUGAUGAUAACAAGUUGAUACAAUUACAAAUUAUUGAUCUCAUUUUUUAUUAUUAUAGAAACUUAAUAAAUUUAAGGGUUAGGGUCAUAUUAGUCCCCGUGUUUGUAAAAACGUUUGAUUUUGGUCCCUCAGUCAAAAAACCGCCAGUAAUUGUAUUAUAAACUGUCAGUAACUGUAAAAAAAACCGCCACUAAUCGUCAUUUUUUUGCUAAGGGGCCAAAAUCAAACACUUUUACAAACACAGGGACUAAUAUGACCGUUAACCCUAAAUUUAAUCCCAAAGUCUAAUAUAUUACAAGUAUUAAGUUUCCUAACAUCAUUCAACGCCAUUUAUAAAUUAAGGUAAAAUCAAAUUUGAUUUCUUUUAUGAGACAAACACAGAUAUCAAACGAUAGUAGAAAUUGUUUGGGAAUGUUCGUGAUAAGUUAUAUAUAUAUAUAUAUAUAUAUAUUCAAAACCUAAUAGUUUGAAAUCAAUACUAAUAUUAUUUGCUUGCUCAUAAUUUUUUUAACCAAUUACGUAAUUUUUUACUUUAGAGUAUUUCAUUGAUUUUGUAUGUGUCACUUUCAAGAGUUACACACAAAUAAAGGUUGAAGAUUCUUGCAAUUGAUCAUGAAAGAAAUGCAUGUUCAACAAUAAAUGUUGUUUAUAGGAAUGUUUUUACUUUUUCUUUUAAAGAAAUCAAAUAUAUUGAUUAAAUGGAAGCUGACAUAGACGCCAAUACAUUUACAGACACAAUCGAAAUCAACACUGGCGGUACCUCCUGAUUGCCUCUUUGCAAGUGUACAAAGUUGCCCGUAGUAAUAAAUUAUCGAUCCCUCGAGAAUUGUGAUCAGGGGCGGACCGAUGUGUAAUUUAGGGGGUUCAUCUGAACCUGAACCCCCUGAACAAAAAAUAUUGCACUUAAUUUUCUAUGUAAUUUUUUUUUUUGAACACCCUGAAAAUUUUAAAUUAUACAAGCAGAUUAAGUUUUACACCUGUUUGCACCAAAGAUCGACCUAUUUGCACAACUCUGACUUGUAUAAUUUUUAUGUAUAAACAUAUUAAAGAUGUUUUUAAUUAUAUUUUAACUGAUAUGUUCAUUUGAAAAAUUUGAAUCCCCUGACUCCGGGGUCCUAUAUUCACCACUGAUUGUGAUUCAAUAAUAAUUUCUAUUAUUUCUCUUAUUUAGAUUUAUAAAAGUAAAAACCAAUUUCUGAUUUUAGAAGUAGUGAUGUUGUACGCAAUAAGUAACACAGAAAAUUAAAUAGAUUUGAGAAUUCAGUUGGGAAAAAUAGCAUUCGGGUAUGUUUUACCUAUUUGUCCUAUGUUUCAGUUUUAACAAUAUUUAUAUGAACUCAAUAAACCUCCCUUCGGCGAUCUAGCUUUUAUUCUAGGAUGUUGAUAACUCACACGCCCUAGACUUCCAAUUCAAAUACUAAGUCUGUCUUACGAGCACCUACACCAGAGAAUAGAAGAUUAAGUCAUAAUUAAACUAGUCAACGCAACUAGAUUAUACUCUUGAAUCAAGCAGUAGGGAACGCCUAAUCGAAUCAAAUUCUUAUUUCCCUAAUUCCUAAUCAACUUCCGUUCUCAUAGAAAUUAGCAAGUUCCUUGCGUGCACUCAAGAAUAAACAAUAUAAAUUGAUUCAAUUACGAAGAUUGGAAAAGAUAAUUCAUAUAAAUAACGAUUCAAAUCAAAACAUAGUUCAAAACGGAUUUACAACCCAAGUACUAAAAGAAGUUUAGCCAAGCAUGGUCAUAAUCGAGAAUUCAAGAGAAAGAAAAAAUAGCACCUAAAGUCUCCAUGAGUAACCUUGAAAAAACUCUCAGAACCUAGGAAGUUUGUGCUCAAUUCCAAUCACCAAAAGCUCCAUCAAAAUAAAAGUAACGUUCAAUAUAUGUUCUUUCAACAACCAUUGCCAUGUGUUAGCUAACGAUUGGCCAAGCUUUAAACGGGUGGAAUCCAGCCCUUCUCGCACCACCAUCUUACGGUGAACCUCUUCCAAGACCACGCCACAUGGCAUGGUGGAAUCCAGCGCUUCUCGCACCACCAUCUUAUGGUGAACCUCUUACAGGACCGCGCCACAAGGCAUGGAAGCUCCGUGGACCAGCAGCACCAGAUCAACUCCCUUUUUCUGACUUUCUCUUUUCUUUUUAUUCUGAAAAUCCUAAAUAAAAUAACAAGAUAAAUUAAAAUAAAAUACUAAAAAGAUAAUAAUCCAAAAAUAAACAACCUAAAUUCUAACUAAAUCUAUAAUUUAAAAAGUACUAAUUAAUAAUAAGAUAAAAACUACUAAAAUCUAGCAAAUCAAAAUAAAAACUCAUAAAAUCCUAAAUUAAUUAAAAAUACAAAAAUCAUAUAAAAAAUACCAUAAAAACUAAUUAAAACUCAGAAAAAUAAAAUAAAAAUAAAAUAAAAGACCUACAAAAAUACCAUUAUAUCUCCGGGUUAACACCUCUUCAAUCCAGACAGACCCGGAAAAAGAAGAGGCAUGCCUAGUCAGGAAGUCCACAACUUUAUUCCCAGAACGACGAACAAAUUUUUUUACUAGAAUUUGACUAAAAUUAUAUUUGAUAAUUUUUAGGACGAACAUGUGUGUUCAAUUUAUCUUUUUAUUACAAAUUUGUGUCUUUUAUAUACCAGUUGUGACACGGGUUCAACACUAAUAAACUAAUUGUUAUGUGUGGUUAGAAACUUAUAUUCUGGUAUUCCUCCAUGAUUUCUCCAGUUACCAAUUUUAAUUGGCGCAAUAAUUAAUUAUUAAUUUUUGUGUUUCUUACUUGAUUUUCUUGGUAAUAACUAACACCGCUCUUCAUUAUUGUUCCUAUAUAUAGCAUUGUCAUUUGGGACAUCAUUUCUCGCCUGCAUCAAAUAGUCUUUCGUGUUUCAACUACAAAGACCAUCCUCAUACUUCAAUUUUCUUUCAAUGGAAUUGGGAAGCAUAACUCACUUCCUUCAGGACAAGAAUAUUUUGGUCAUUGGGGCCACUGGCUUCCUUGCCAAAGGUGCUUCUCUCAUUCUGUUUCUCUAUCAGAGCUCACAAUUAUUGUGUGUGGAUAUAUAUAGUGAUGUUGUUUUUUUUAUAUACUUUGUACCGGAUAUUGCAGUCUUUGUGGAGAAGAUACUUAGAGUUCAACCAAAUGUGAAGAAACUUUAUCUUCUUUUGAGAGCCACAGAUGCCAAAUCUGCCACUACAAGACUGCAUAAUGAGGUAUGUCAUUACAUCUUUCUUUCACCUUUCCAUGCUCAUUCUGUUUGGGAGAGGCUAUAUCAUCACUCUCUCCAAUUUGUGAUGUCAUUUUUUAAGAGAAAAGCAAAAGAAAUAAAUUUAUUAGAAUAAUAUUAACUUGAGAACAAUGUUAGAAAACGAGGGUAUAUAUAUGUUUGAUUACACUGUUUUUUAAAACGUUAUUUAAAAAAAAUAAGACUGUUUGAAUGAGAUGUUUUUCAACAUUAAAAAAUUGUAAUAUGAAACUAAAUUGAAAUAAAAAAUAUAUUUUAUAUGUUAUGGCAUUUUAGUUUUUAAAAACUAAAAUUGAGAACUAUUUUCAAAAGCAGUUUUUAAAAACAAGCAAGUUUUCAAAUGUUCAGUUUUAAAAAAAUUAAAAACUGCUUUCCAAAGGCGGUAAUCAAACAAGCUCAAUAUCUGAGAAGCCACUCCGCGGCAAUAACCACAAUUUUAAAGUAAAAUUAAUUUCAUCGAACUCCAGUACAAAUUCUAAGAGGCAGUUUUACCAAGAGUUUUAUUCCCCACUUAAUAUAUACUCCCUCCUUUUCAAAAUAUAGGUUAUUUUAGAUUGUGCACAUUGUUUAAGAACUCAUUAAUUGAUAAAUAUUUUGAUUGAAAUACCCCUAUUUAAAAUUUUGUUAUAUUAAGGAGAGAGAAAUAUUAUUAUUGGUUAAGUGAAUAGUGAGAGUUGUGAUAGGUGAAAAUUGGAGGUGAUAAUUAACAGAUAUAAUAUUAAAUGAGGAUAUAUGUCAUAUGAGGAAGAAAGAGAGUAAAAAUGCAUUAGUUUGCAAAACAACUUAUAUUUUAAAAUAUAGUUCAAAUUUUAAAACAUACAUUUUAAAACGGAGGGAGUAACAUCUUGAAGCUCUCACAGAAAAUUAAUGCCUAAACAUAUAAGUGACAAGAAAAGAGGUAGGAGUAAUCAAAAGAAUCAUCAUUUGGGUGUUGCACCACAAGAGAAAUGAAAAUGAAAUGGAGAGAACAAAUGAUAGUUAAAUGCCAUUAUCCAACAAACAACUCCCACGAGUGUUGGGAAUAAUCAAGUGUCAAACACAAUUAUUCCCUUCGUUCCAGAAAAUUUGUAGUUUAAGGUUGUGGCACAAAGAGUAAGAAAACAAUUAUUGAUAGUAUAAUUUGACUAUAUUGUCCUUAUUUAAUUUUACUAGUAUGAUGUGCAACUAUUAAAUUAUACUCCUCCAGUCCUAUUUAUAAGCAGCAAAAAAAAAAUUCACAUAGUUUAAGAAAUGUAGUUAAACUAGAUAAAAUGCAUUAAAUAAGUCUUGAAUCAAAAUAAACUUCCAAAAUUACACUUUGUUAUUAGUGUUGUAUAGUGGGAAAAAGAGAAAAUAAUUAAAGAGACACAUUUUACAAGUUAGAAUUGAUAAGGGCAUCAUUGAAAAAAAAAAUUAAUAUAGCUCAAACUUUCAUUUGGUUCUUAUAAAAAGGACCAAGAUUUUUCUUCUUUUUCAUGCUUAUAAAUAGAUAGAUCAGAGGGAGUACUUAGAUAGAGAAGAAUGUAAUUAAUAGAGAAGAGUUGUGGUUGGUUAAUAUUAAAGGUGAUAAGUGAGAGAAAAUGUAUUAAAUGGGGGAUAGAGGUGGAAUAAAUUAGCAAAAAAUGCAUUGGUUUUCUAAAACAACAAACAUUUUAGGAUAUUGAAAAAUGAUGCAAAAUAACAAACUUUCUGGAAUGGAGAAAGUACUUUUUAACUAAUGAUGCUUGCUUAUCACACCCUGUUUAGUUAAAUUUAGUGUAACUUUCACGCAGGGUCGGCCCAAGGGCCAAGUCACCCAAGUAAGGGUUUUAGGUCUCCAAUUUUAUUUUUAUUUUACCCAGUAAAAAAAGGCCUCAAAAAUUUUUUUUAUUAAGUAAAAAAGGCCCCAAAAAAUUUAAUAAAUAAAUAUUUCUUUAGGUAAAAAGACCUCACUUUUAAAGUUUGUUUUAGGCAUCGUUUAAUAUUGGGCCGACCCUGCUUUCACGAAGAGAGACAAAGAAACAGAAGUGAGAGAUACGAAAAAUCAUGUAAUGAGAAAAGAAUAAAGAAAAAUAAAAGAGCAUUGCUAGGUGGUACGAAAACGAAACUCAUAAAUGUUGAAAUUUUUUAAUUGAACCGUAACCUUUUAACAUAAAUCAUGUGCCCUUCUUUACUAUAAAGUGAUGUAUGAUUGCCACCUAUCAACUCAUAAUUAACUUUCGUAACGUAAAAGGACUGUAACAAUUAGCAUUUCCCAAAGAAAAUAUAGCUCAAAUUGAGAUGGAAGAUAAAUUGGAUGUGAAUGUGUCAAAGUUGUUAAUUAAAGCUCUGCAAAAUAGUUGUAUUCUAUUAGCAUUAUGACAUUUAUACCAUUAUUUAUUUUGAAAACGAAAAAAGUAGCAACUCUUCUUUGUAGCACCUUUGUGAGGUUUGAGUUUACUUUUUUCUUACACUAUAAUUAAAAACCUAAUGAUGUUAUGUAUAAUUUUAUGCAUAUUUUUACUUGAUAACAAAUAUUUCAAAAUAUCAUUUUAUGUCAUAAAUAUUUCAAAUUUUAGAAAUAAUGAUAACAAAUUAACAUAAAUUGAUAGAAUUACAAAAUCAUUGAUCUCAAUCUUUAUUAGGGUUAAUGGUCAAAUUAGUCCAUGUGUUUGUAAGCAAAUUUGAUUUCAGUCUCUAUGAUGAAAAAUGACGUCCAGUGACGGUCAAAAACCGCCAGUAAUUGCAAAAAUGACCGCAUCUUAACGUCAUUUUUCCUCAUGAGGAAUAAAAUCAAACUCGAACAUAGAGACUAAUUUGAAUAUUAACCCUCUUUAUUAUUAUGGAAACUUAAUAAAGUUGGUCCCAAAAUUUGGUCAUUACAAUUAUUAAGUUUCCUAACAUUGUACUAGUAAUAUAAAAUAAUGAUAUUUUAGUAACAUUGUACAACCAAUAAUUGUAAUUUUAUACCACAACCUUAAACAACAAUUUUCGUGAAAUAGAUGAGUGUAACUUCCUUGCUUAUUUUAUUUCCAAUUAUAUUAUUAUAUUUUUUUCUAGCUACUUAGGUUAUACAUGACACGCCUAGUUGUUAAGCUAGAUGAGAGCUUAUAAGUUAGUUGAAAGUUGAAGACUGAAAGCUUAAAACUUAACUAAUUGCAAAGAAAUAUUUGGCGAAACGUGAACAGCUUGAAUUUGUAAAACGACACAAUAUACAUAUUUAUAUUUUUAUAUAUAUAUAUGUGAUUAUUAUUUUUUAUCUAACAUUACUUUAUUUACACAUCAAUAUCAAAUAACUAUCACUUCAAAUAUUUUAAUUUAUUUCAAAUUGUAUAUCAGAAAAAAUAAAUAAUAUUUUUUAACUUGCUUUCAUAUUUUAAUUUUUUAUUACACUAAUAGGAUAGUAAAAUAACAUUAUAUUUUAAGUAGUAAAUAAUUUAAUAUUUAUCUAAAUAAAAUAUUUUAGCAGGUGUAAUGAUGACAACUUUAUAGGAGUUAUUGUUCAUAAUUAGUGUUUGUAUUUUUUAAAGGUGCAACGAUGACAACUUUAUAGAAGAUAAAUAUCCCAAUUUGGAAGAGCUUAUUUGAGCUUAUCUGAUAGCAUAAACGCUUAUGCUAGUGUUUGUGAGAGUUUAUGCAAACAACUUAUGGUGCCAUAAUUUUGGCUUAUUUUCAUAAGCUAUCAUAAAUAGCUUAUGAAAAAGAGCUUAUGCUUAUGAAUAAACACUUAUGUCAUAAACGCUUAAUUAAGCUGUUUUUGCAAAUGGGGCCUUAGUGUUUUCUAGUUAGACUAGGCGCUCUAACAUUCCUUGCACAUAGAAACAAACUUAUUAUUUUUUAGAAAGGGUGUACACUCACAUUAAUUAACCCAAAACAUUUUUUUUAGUUUAAAAAGAUUUGGACUUACUUUGUAGUAAACUCUAGCAUGACAUGUCUCUCGCUUUGGGUUAAAGGCUUUAGAAAGGCCUUCUGUUAUUCUGAUUCUUCCGCUACAGUGACAUUGAUUAAGAAAGCUCUAUCCCCUCAGCACUAAGCAUGCCUCUUUGAUUGGCAACAUUAAAGUCUUGUCGGCUCGUUCUUGAGAGGUGCGUUUGGCUCAUACGUUUCGAGAAGAGAAUGCAUGUGCGAACUUCCUUGCUUAGGUUGUCUCUCAGCGAAAUCUAGUGGACCCACAUUAACCGAAAACUUGUUUUUUAUUAAUUUUCUUUAACCCACAAAUUAAACCUAAAUAAAAAAAGGCCAUACUAUGUUGGGCCACAAGGCCCAGUUAGCAAUACAGAUGGAUAAUAUGAUUUAAAACAGAAAAUUAACCUAAACCUCUUACUGGGCUCGGCCCAUUGAGUCUGUGAGGCGCGGUGGAGGAGCGCCCUUUGCGGUGUACGUCGACGGAGCAGCACGGCUCUCGAUGGUUGCUCCGGCUGGGUGAAAGCAAGCAAUCUGUUUGUUACUGCUACGUUAUUUUCAUGUGUAGAUUAUAGAGAAGGACUUGUUUAGAUUGUUGAAGGAAAACCUGGGUGCAAACUUCAAUACAUUUGUCUCUCAAAAGUUGACUUUGGUCCCUGGUGACAUCUCUCAAGAGGACUUGAAUUUGAAGGACUCUGUUCUACGGGAAGAGAUUCGCAAUCAAACUAAUGUUAUAAUUAAUUUUGCUGCCACAACUAACUUCCGUGAAAGGUAUCAUGUAUUCAGAACCAGAUUUAUAUCUACGUGUUUCAUAAGAAAAUUAUUGUUUGUCUCUCAAUUUCAUGAUAGUUAGAAUAAAUAAGUUGUGUAUAUUUUUUACUCGUCACUUAUUAUUAUUAUAUGCAGAUAUGAUGUUGCGUUGGGUAUAAAUACAUUUGGAGUAAAGCAUGUCUUAAGCUUCGCCAAAACUUGUACUGACUUGGAGGUUCUUGUGCAUGUAUCAACAUGUCGGUAUUCAAAUUAGUUAGUGUGUUUGAAAUAAUGUGAGAUGUUCACUUUUUGUCUCGAAAUAAGUGCUAAUGUCUAUUUGUAGUUGUGUCAACGACUCAACGGGUAUCGAAACAUAGCCUUAGAUUAUCUUAGACUUCGUAGAAGUCUUUAUUUAAUCAGAUUCUUCCCAAGCUUGGCUGAUAUGAAUCAAUAUGUUUUCAGCAUAUGUAUGUGGUGAGGGGAAAGGACUCAUACUAGAGGAUCCAUACCAAUUGGGUGUGUCUCUAAAUGGAAUAUCAGGACUAGACAUUGAUGUGGAAAAGAAAGUGGUGGAGGAGAAGCUGAACAUGCUUCAAGAAGAGGGAGCCUCCGAAAAGGAAAUUAAAAUGGCCAUGAGGGACUUAGGUAUGGAAAGGUAAGCCAUGUUAAAUUUUACAAAGGCAAAUUCAUAUAAUAUACUAACAAACAUCAAAACAUAAAUGUAUUUGGUUGUAUCUUGACAAAUUAUCAGAGCAACUCAAUUUGGAUGGCCAAACACGUAUGUUUUCACUAAGGCAAUGGGAGAAAUGCUUGUUGGAACUGUGAAGGAAAACAUGUCUGUUGUUAUUGUGCGGCCUACAAUCGUUCUCAGCACUUACAGAGAACCUUUCCCAGGUUGGAUUGAAGGUGUAAGGUAAAUCACCAAAUUUUAUAUCAUUCAUUAUGUUCAUGUGCAUGCAUUAAUUACAUUGCAUCACAGUUACACUUGGUAUUGUUGCAUUUUGAAAUUUGAAUCAUAGUUUUAUGUCCCUUUAAUUUGCUUUCCAAUACCAUGGCAGAGUAAGCAUAUAAAUAACCAAGUUUUUCUUAUGAUGCCCCAUUGCCCCUUGCUGCAGAACCAUUGACAAUUAUUUUGUUGCUUAUGGUAAAGGAAAGUUAAAAUGCUUCCUUGGGGACCUUGAUGUAGUUUGUGACGUGGUGAGUGUCCCUAUACUAAACAUUUAAUCUUCUGUCCCAAAUUGAUGCCUUAAUUUCUUGUCCCGCUGAAAAAUCUGGCCGCAUCAAUUAAAAAGGACAUAAGUGAGGCAAUUACAAACUUACGUCGUGAUUUUUAAUUGACGUGUCAACAUUUCAUUGACAUGACAGAGAAUGAGACAUGUACAGUUUGGUGACUAGAGAUUUCAGUCCCCCAACUUUUCUCUACAAAUUAUAGACUCUCCAAUUCAUUCUUUGCUCAAAGUGGAUAUAACUAUGCUGAAACCAAUGCAGAUACCAGCUGACAUGGUGGUGAAUGCAAUACUAGUAGCCAUGGUGGCUCAUGCAAAUCAUCCUUGUGAUAUCAUAUAUCAUGUGGGUUCCUCUGUUUCAAAUCCAGUCACAUACCUCAAGUUUGAAGACUACAUCUACAGAUAUUUUACUGCAAAACCAUACAUAAACACAGAUGGAAAGCGUGUCAAGAUUGGCAAACUUACAAUAUUGCACAACAUGGAUAGCUUUCACAGAUACAUGUUCAUUCGUUACGUGCUUCCAGCAAAGGUUGUUUCUAGUCCUUGAUUUCUACUUCAGAUUCAUCUAUUCAUGUCAUAUUACACCCACUGUCAAAUUUACUUUUAACAAUAAUAAUAAGGCUAAAUAGUACUUGUAGCUAUUAAACUUUUACAAAAUCCGUUAUUUUGGUCUCUAUUGUCAAAUAACCACUUAUCCCAAAAGCUUAAACUGUUGGGUAAAUGCCACAUCAAUGAUUUUAUAUUAUAUUCUAACACGCUCCCUCACGCAAGAGCCUUUUUGGGCUUGAAGCGUGGAUAAAUGCACAGACUCACCUACCAUGUGCUUAAUUAAAUUCUACUUUUUAAUUAGAAAGUGAGGGAAGCAAGGAUCGAACUCUAGACCUCUCGGCCAUAGAUGCUCUGAUACCAUGUCAAAUAACCACUUAUCCCAAAAGCUUAAGCUGUUGGGUAAAGACCACAUCAAUGGUUUUAUAUUAUAUUCUAACAUCUAUAGUUUCAAUUGCUCCAAUUAAGUCCGGCCUCAACUUUUAAAAUUGAAGAAAUGGGGCUCUGCAUUAACUUAUCACCCAAUAAUUAAUGGAAAAGCUAACAUGGAUCACAGUGCUUACCUGUGUAGUUUGCAUUUUAACAGGGGCUAGAGCUGGUUAAUGCAGCAUUUUGCCAAUAUUUUGAGCACAAAUGUCGUGACAUAAACAGGAAGAUCAAGAUCGUAAUGCAGUUGGUUGAAGUCUUCAAGCCUUACUGUUUCUUCAAUGGCGUGUAAGUUAACUAGCAGCAAAAGUAAGGUGCCAAUUACUUAACACAUUUGAUAUUAAUUUGCUGAGACAAUUAAGCUUCUUUUGAUCACAGGUUUGAUAAUAUGAACACAGAAAAGUUGCUGAUAGCGGCAAAACAAGGUGGGGUAGAAAUGGAUUUGUUUUACUUUGACCCAAAAAUGAUUGAUUGGGAAGACUACUUCAUGAAUAUCCAUUUCCCUGCUCUCGUCAAAUAUGCCUUCAAGUGAUUGAUUCCAACUCUGAAAUCUGAAUUUGUUUAUAGCUCUUGUCUUUAGAAACUUGUAAUGUUCCUUGAGUAAACUAUGCUUCUGAGAUUAUAUAAUGUUGUGUUAAUAAUCAUGGAACGUAAUUAUAUGUAAUCUAUCUUACAUGUGGCAUGUGCUUCAGAUUUUAUCAAGUGACUCAAAUAUUUAUGUAUGGUAUGGAUCAACUUACAUUCGUGUAUUACACUAAGUAAUAAUAGGGGGAUAAGUAGCUCACAUGGUGAGCUAAGGGAAAUGAAGAGUAUUUAUUAAAGAGUCAAAGGUCAGGGUUCAAACUUUAAUGAAGAAACUAAUUUACCAAUAAUUAACUACUAACAUUUGCGUAAAAAAACACUAUUUAAUAUUAAAUAUGUAGUUUACUUUUAGUAUUAUACUAGUUGAAUUCUCGUGCACUGCACGAGUUACUUUAUCAUUAAAUUUGUGUAGUAUUAUCUUUUUUUAAGUUUUGUAAUUUUAAUUGCACAAAUAUUUUUUAAAGAACUAAAAAAAUACUUGUGCAAAGUUGCACAAACCUAACUUGACCUAAUAAAAAAAAAAUUCAUCGCCAAAAUAUAGAGAUUUAAAUCAAUGAUAAAUUUUAUAUUGAAAAUCAUCUCUUCAUAAAAUAUGUCACUAAUUUUAUUCAUGUUACUCAUCAUCCAAGGUUUUUAUUAUGAUAGAUUUUGAUAUUCCGUUGCAAAAUUUAAAUGAGUUAAGAUGAGGUAUAUUUUAGAUAAGAAUGAAAUGAAGUGUUAUAUUUUAACUUCAGAGAGUGAAUGUAUUUUAAUCUUAGAAAAAUAUUAUGAAUUACAAAAACCUUUUACAUAUAUAUAGAUAGUAUUAUAUGCUAUUGACUAAAAUUAUAGCCUUUGAAUAUCAUCUAUCAAUAUCAAUUUACAAAACAAUUUAAUAAUUAUGCAGAUAAUAUAGAUACAUUUUAUAUAAAUAUUUAAUUACAUUUUAUUAUCUUACCAUAUUAUUAUAAAAUAAAAAAUCACAAAAAAGUAAAUUUGAUAACAAUAUAUACUAAAAUGGUGGAUUUUGCUAAAGUAUAAUACAUCCAAUAAAAAAGGGAAAAAAAACAGGUGGAUAUUAAUCAUAGAAUAGUGCUAAAUAUUAAGCAUUGAAGGCUUAAUACAUGCAGAUGAUAAAGCAAAAACAUUGAUUGAACAGUUACAGUGGUGAGAGAAGCAAUAACCUUAUCAAAGGCUAGCAGACUGAGCAGGCGGUGGCGGCACCACAUAAUCAACCACAACCACGCUCUCAAGCUGAUCCCUAGCCUUAUCCUUAUGAUAACUCACCAGCUCACCGUUCGAAUCCACCUCAUCCAACUCUCCCUAUCCAGGAAAAACCGCCAGGGAAGCAAUCGAGAAGCCCUUGGCUCUCGCCGGGGAGAAAUUCUCACCGCAACUGAGCUGACUAAUCUGCUUGAAGCUCUCUGGAAUUCCUCUGAUAACCCCUAGAACCUCAUCGCUCGCCGCAUUCUCCUUCAAUUUCAACAAGGUAAGUCGCAUCGCCGAUCCCUGCGGCGUGACGAGAUCGCCGCGGAGGUCGUCGGCGACCAUGAGGUCGUCGAUGAUUGGAAGCACGUUUCCCCUGACGACGCCGAGAUGGCUGGGGUGCGCGGAGUAGGCGUCGAGAUCUUCCUUGGAGUUAUAGCGACUGUGGAGCAUGUGGGUGAAGGUCAAGGAGGAGGAUCGGUUGCGAAGGAUAGGGCCCACCGUGAGGUGGAGGACAUGGUCGAGGGAGAUGAGGGAGCUGAGGCCAUUGACCAUGGCGGUGACCUUGGAGGGUUCGGUGUCGUCUUUGACCUUGAAGAGGACGAUGUGCUCCACGGUGGUUGAGCACAGGAAUGUGACUGGAAACGAUAGCUGCGGUUUCAGUCUUAAACUCUGCAUCGUUUACCACAGGAAUGCGACUGGUGAAUAUGUAAUUGUUUUUAUUCGAAUCUGAAUGAUGUAUCUCUUUCUUUUUUCCCACGUUUCCGUAGGUAGGAGCUGAGGCCCAUUAAUAGUAUAUGGGCCGAAUGACCCAAAGGAUGGUAGGUAAUAUAGAGGCCAAUUUUAGGAGUUAAGGCCCAUUAGCUAGUUACAGAGGUCAGAGGGUAGCUAAAACAAACACCACAAAGAACAUUGGCAUAAACCAAAUUAUUAACCUCUACCCAACCGGGUCUAGGCCCAAGCAAUGUGGAUGACCUUGGGCUGUUGAAAGAAGACAUUGGACUUGGGAGGCCAGUCCUCCUCCAGGACUACCCUAGCCCUACCAAGGAUGGGUCAAGCCACUUUUCCUCUAACCUCUCUCAGGAAGAGCUUAGACGGUGCUCCCAAGCCUUGGCCCCUGGCUCCAGGCUUGCCAUCAUCAGUAGGGAACUCAACAAAGUAGCUUGAGGGUUGCAUGGGCUUCUGUUGGGUGGGACGUGGCUCCCAGACUCCAGCAGGGGUCCCUGACAGUGGGGAGAUGUGGGACCUUGGGACAUCUUUAGUGUAGUGAUGACCCGAGAUUUAAGACUAUUUUCCUAGUUUAUUUGCAUACAUUUUAAUAUAUUUUUUUAGGAUAUUUCAGUCAUUAUGGGACACUUUAGGCUUAUUUCAUGCAUUUUAAUAUUUUUAUUUAGUUUUAGUAUUUUUCUAUGUUUUAUAUUAUUUUCUAGAUAUUAUUAGGAUUUAUUUACUUUAAUUUAGGAUGAGAUAAGUUUAUUUUAAGGUGUUAUCUUAUUUUUAUCUCUUAUAUAUUUUUAUUUGCUUUAUUUUAGGAGAUGAUUUGAAGAAAAAUAGAAAAAAUCCAAGAAAUAAGGAGAAAUUCGUACCUGGCAUCUUUCCCAACGGACGAAACCGCUGCAAUAGCACCAAAUUUCACCUGUUGUUUAAUGUAGCGAAAAUUAAACCGCUGCGAUAGGUCCUGCACGGAAGAGAACGAUUAAAACCCUAUAAAUUCCGUUUUGACCUAUUUUUUUUAGGAUCUUUUUCAUCUUUCUUUUCUCCAAAACCUAAUAAACACCUUUGGGAGACUUUGAGGCAAUUUCUUGGUGGAGAGGAAGGCUAGGCCCUUGAGGGCCGGUGUCAGGGCCAUGGAGGAGGUGACAGCUUCUCCGGACGUCCAUGACUCCGUUCUAUUUUGGUUUUUGUUUUUCUCUUCACCUAUUUUUAUGUUUUGACUCUAUUUUAGUAUUUUGGAUGAUGUAGUUUGAUUUUACUCUUAUUCAAUACAUCUUUAUGCAAUUAUAAGUAUGUGUUUCCAUUAUUUGGCGUUUCUCUCUAUGCUUAGUGCUUCUAUUGGUCGAUUGAUAAUUUUAAGGGUUUAUAUUUGGAAUGGGCGGGACAUAAAGGAUACUUAUGCCCGCCCGAAUCGAGUAAUCAGAUGAACGAAAGACACCUUGGCGGGAUUCACGGAACAACAUUGAAUCCCGCCCUUACUUUAGCCAGGCCCACACGCCAGCUGGAAGAUUCCUUUAGAUUUGUCUUAUAUGUAUAGAGACUUGGGCCCCGGUUGUCAGGCCCAAGUACAGUGAAAGUCCACAUCAUGAUCACUCCCUCUAUAAAAGGAGAGGUCAACAUCUUGUAAAAAGUACCUUUUGAACAUUUAAUGAGAAUAUUCCUUUUAUGAUAUUUUUAGUACUCUGCUAGGGUUUACUUUCUGUCAGUCUUUUACGUCAGAUCUCCCUAGUACAGAACAAUAUUAAUUCGUAAAUAAAUUGAGAAAUUGAUAUGAAUUAAUGUAGCUUAGUUCAUAAAAAGAGGAAAAACACCUAUGUCUUAGGUUUAAUAAUUCUCUUUGCGCGUUCAUGUAUCUUUUACCAAUUUGAUGCUUUUUAGGAUUUACAUGACAAUUGAGAAGUUGGUGUAAAUUUAGUUUAUGAGAGGAACCACCCUUGCAUCAGUCAUCUUAAGAAAGACAUGUCUUAGGUAGAGUUAAGGUUUUCUAGGUGACAAUAGGAGACAUUAACUCUUAGGUAUGAAUAUCAUGAGUUGGGAAAGAGAUCUAUACCGAGUGACAAGUCGGGAUACUCACCUCUCUAGUAUAGGAUCAUCUAGUAGGAACUAUUAUGAUUUCUUGAGUGACAGUCAGGGAUUCUAUCCACUAGGACAUGAACUUCUUAGGUUAGGAACAGAGCUUGGGAAUGUCUUAUCGAGUAUGUAUGUGCUAUAAUGCUCCUUUAUGAUCACUAGGAAUUAAGGAAUUAAGGCUAGGUUCUUAAUUGGUAGAUUCACUUAGCUAAGAAAUUAGUAGGUGAAUAGCUCUUAUCGGCAUCUUAAAUGUUAACUUCAUCUUAUAAGAGUAUAUUGGUUGAGAAUAAGUUGUAAAUCAAUGAACUCAUUUUCCAAAUACAUUUUCUUCUUUGUUUGCCUCCGUGAAACUUCUUUUAUCGCUUUAAUUAUAGUUUUUCCUAAAUUUAAAUAAAACACAUAUUAUGUUUAAACUGUUCAAACAAUGUUUAGCUAGUGAAAUUAAUACGUAGCAACACAAUCCCUGUGGAGACGACAAAACCCGAUACUAUACUACGAUUGAGUCUUGAAAGGGAUUUGAUAGUAGCUAGUGGAGGAAAACCUCUUCAUUAAAUAUCCUUUCAUCAAAAUGGCGCCGUUGCCGAGGAUUGUGCUUCCGCUUGUAUUAGUUAAGCUAGCUGGGUGUUGUUUAGAGCAUUAUUAUAGUAGGCAUUUUUUUUUUGUUAUGCUCUUACAUGUCAAUUCAAUUGAUUUGUUCUUGUGCUGAAUGCUUGUUGUGGCCUGAUCAACUAUAACAUGAUAUGAGGUUUGGAAUUCUAUGAACCUGACUUAGAAUGAAUUAGCUAGUGGAUUUAAUGAGAAUUAAGUUCAUUAGUCAUGAAUUGAUGAUUUGAUGCAUAGGAUUUUGAGUCAUAGUGUCUCAUUAAAUUAUUUGAGUUCUGUUGUGGUGUUUUAAUUUGUGUGCUCGUUUUUGCAAUGACUAAGUGAUUUUACAGGGAUCAAUCUGAGUUAGAGGGCCCAACUGACCAUGUCCUGGUGCUUUCAAGUUUGCACCGAAUCUGAGUACAGAGAGUUUUAUUGAACCACUCAUCUCUCAUUUAAUUUCAUGAUCAUGCAUUUAGCAUUUAGUUAUUUAGAUUGCACACACUAGUAUGCACAUGCCUUGGAUUCUUGGUAUUCACACUUUUAUGCUUGAAUAAUGCUUGUUGUUGUUUUUAAUAUCUGUUCUGGGUUUGAUGCUAGUUGUUAUAAUAAAAAGUGUUUGAUGCAUGAGUGUGAGUGAAACUUGUGGAACAUGUGGAGAGUGAGGUGAUAGAGACUUGAGUGAGUUUUGGGAAAGUUCAGUAAGGUUAUUAAGAUUCCAGGUUAGUGGGGAUAAUGCAUAAAAUAUGUAGUUUUCAUUUUAAUCUUUAUAUUGAGUCUACACUCUUUUUGGUUGUUAGAUUAAAAUGGGGCACACAUGUGAAAGUAAAGCUAAAGCGCUAAAAAUGAAGAAGAAAAAAUAGGGAAAGGAUGUGAGUAAGGGAAUGGGAAGUAUUUGCACCACUAAGCAUACCCCCAAUCAUAUCCUGACCUUGUUAAAUAAAAGAAAAGAAUUUCGCCCUGAGUUGGUAAUAACUGUGAAGGGCUAAAUUCAAAAGAAAAUAACAUGUGUGUGCUCAGAAUAAAAUAAAAUUGUUGGCCAUCAUUAGUGGAUUCUCAAUAUGGGGUUGGAGAAAUAGGAAUGAAAUGUGAAACCUCAUAUCUUGGUAUUUUCAAUAAUUCUUGUUCGCACUUACUAAAGGUUACUCAGUUUUUAAAGCUUAAUUCUCUGCAUGAACUAUUUUGAGGAACUCAUCCCAUGUAUCUUUUGUGAAAACAUGUAUACUUGCAUCUUACCUUGAACUAUUUUCUUGAGCUUGAGGACAAGCAACCUUAAGUUUACGCUUGAGGACAAGCUGCCGUUGAGUAUAGGGGUAUUUUGAUGAAAGGAUAUUUAAUGAAGAGGUUUUCCUCCACUAGCUACUAUCAAAUUCCUUUCAAGACUCAAUCGUAGUAUAGUAUCGAGUUUUGUCGUCUCCACUAGCUAAACAUUGUUUGAACAGUUUAAACAUAAUAUGUGUUUUAUUUAAAUUUAGGAAAAACUAUAAUUAAAGCGAUAAAAGAAGUUUCACGGAGGCAAACAAAGAAGAAAAUGUAUUUGGAAAAUGAGUUCAUUGAUUUACAACUUAUUCUCAACCAAUAUACUCUUAUAAGAUGAAGUUAACAUUUAAGAUGCCGAUAAGAGCUAUUCACCUACUAAUUUCUUAGCUAAGUGAAUCUACCAAUUAAGAACCUAGCCUUAAUUCCUUAAUUCCUAGUGAUCAUAAAGGAGCAUUAUAGCACAUACAUACUCGAUAAGACAUUCCCAAGCUCUGUUCCUAACCUAAGAAGUUCAUGUCCUAGUGGAUAGAAUCCCUGACUGUCACUCAAGAAAUCAUAAUAGUUCCUACUAGAUGAUCCUAUACUAGAGAGGUGAGUAUCCCGACUUGUCACUCGGUAUAGAUCUCUUUCCCAACUCAUGAUAUUCAUACCUAAGAGUUAAUGUCUCCUAUUGUCACCUAGAAAACCUUAACUCUACCUAAGACAUGUCUUUCUUAAGAUGACUGAUGCAAGGGUGGUUCCUCUCAUAAACUAAAUUUACACCAACUUCUCAAUUGUCAUGUAAAUCCUAAAAAGCAUCAAAUUGGUAAAAGAUACAUGAACGCACAAAGAGAAUUAUUAAACCUAAGACAUAGGUGUUUUUCCUCUUUUUAUGAACUAAGCUACAUUAAUUCAUAUCAAUUUCUCAAUUUAUUUACGAAUUAAUAUUGUUCUGUACUAGGGAGAUCUGACGUAAAAGACUGACAGAAAGUAAACCCUAGCAGAGUACUAAAAAUAUCAUAAAAGGAAUAUUCUCAUUAAAUGUUCAAAAGGUACUUUUUACAAGAUGUUGACCUCUCCUUUUAUAGAGGGAGUGAUCAUGAUGUGGACUUUCACUGUACUUGGGCCUGACAACCGGGGCCCAAGUCUCUAUACAUAUAAGACAAAUCUAAAGAAAUCAUCCAGCUGGCGUGUGGGCCUGGCUAAAGGAAGGGCGGGAUUCAAUGUUGUUCCGUGAAUCCCGCCAAGGUGUCUUUCGUUCAUCUGAUUACUCGAUUCGGGCGGGCAUAAGUAUCCUUUAUGUCCCGCCCAUUCCAAAUAUAAACCCUUAAAAUUAUCAAUCGACCAAUAGAAGCACUAAGCAUAGAGAGAAACGCCAAAUAAUGGAAACACAUACUUAUAAUUGCAUAAAGAUGUAUUGAAUAAGAGUAAAAUCAAACUACAUCAUCCAAAAUACUAAAAUAGAGUCAAAAUAUAAAAAUAGGUGAAGAGAAAAACAAAACCCAAAAUAGUACGGAGUCAUGGACGUCCGGAGAAGCUGUCACCUCCUCCAUGGCCCUGACACCGGCCCUCAAGGGCCUAGCCUUCCUCUCCACCAAGAAAUUGCCUCAAAGUCUCCCAAAGGUGUUUAUUAGGUUUUGGAGAAAAGAAAGAUGAAAAAGAUCCUAAAAAAAAUAGGUCAAAACGGAAUUUAUAGUGUUUUAAUCGUUCUCUUCCGUGCAGGACCUAUCGCAGCGGUUUAAUUUUCGCUACAUUAAACAACAGGUGAAAUCUGGUGCUAUUGCAGCGGUUUCGUCCGUUGGGAAAGAUGCCAGGUACGAAUUUCUCCUUAUUUCUUGGAUUUUUUCUAUUUUUCUUCAAAUCAUCUCCUAAAAUAAAGCAAAUUAAAAUAUAUAAGAGAUAAAAAUAAGAUAACACCUUAAAAUAAACUUAUCUCAUCCUAAAUUAAAGUAAAUAAAUCCUAAUAAUAUCUAGAAAAUAAUAUAAAACAUAGAAAAAUACUAAAACUAAAUAAAAAUAUUAAAAUGCAUGAAAUAAGCCUAAAGUGUCCUAUAAUGACUGAAAUAUCCUAAAAAAUAUAUUAAAAUGUAUGCAAAUAAACUAGGAAAAUAGCCUUAAAUCUCGGGUCAUCACUACACUAAAGAUGUCCCAAGGUCCCACAUCUCCCCACUGUCAGGGACCCCUGCUGGAGUCUGGGAGCCACGUCCCACCCAACAGAAGCCCAUGCAACCCUCAAGCUACUUUGUUGAGUUCCCUACUGAUGAUGAAGAAGAGAGCGUGGAAAACCAGCGAGAGAGCCAAGCCAGUUAUUCUCCAAGCCCAACAGGUGUGGCCCUUGAAAGGCUAACCCUAAAGAGGAAUAGAGAGUCUACCCCGACCCUGCAAGUUGAUGGUGCGUGUAAGGAUCCAGAUGACCACAAAGUCCCCAGAACACUCUCUGAAGAAGGUGACUAUGAAGGAAACCCCAAAACCAAGGCUGAGGAGGCGGGCCAUGCCAUGCCCCCAAUGCAGCCAUGACAUUCUUAAGCUGGAAUUGUCGAGGAGCUACUUCUCCCUCGACAAUCAGAGAACUGAAGCAUCUCUGUAAAUAUUUCUCUCCCUCCCUCAUCUUCCUCAUGGAAACGAAAGUUCAAAUGCAAAGGAUUGAAAACCUCAAACACUCUCUGAAGAUGGACUUCAUGUUCUGUGUCCCUCCACGUGGCCUCUCUGGCGGUCUUGCAUUAUUGUGGAAGAAAGACAUGGAAGUUGAUAUCAUGUGCCACUCCCAGAAUUAUAUCCAUACCCUCCUGUAUUCAAAGGAGGAUGGCCAAUCUUGGAGCAAUACGUUCUUUUAUGGGAACCCUGACUUCACCGUUAGAAAAGACCAAUGGGAUGUUCUCAGGUGCCUGCAAACAAACUCUAACAGACCAUGGUGUUGCCUAGGAGACUUCAAUGAAGUCCUACACCCUUAUGAGAAACAAGGGUUGCGUCCUGCCCACCCCAACUGCAUGCUUCUUAUGAGGGACUUCCUCCAUGACACUGGCCUCAUGGACAUUGAGCUCUCCGGUUGCAAAUUCACGUGGCAAGGGGGUACUAGAGAUAAUGUCACUAUUAGGGAGAAAAUCGACAGGGUAACAACCAACUAGGAAUGGAGGAGGAUGUUCCCUCAUGCCCAAUUCCAGGCUCGUCCCCCAGUCUCCUUUGAUCACAUCCCGAUUAUAGUUAUCCCUAAACCUAAAAACCACUGUCCCGUCCCCUUCAAGUAUGAAGCUUUCUGGGGAGACCACUCUGAAUGUCCUAAUAUUGUCAAAGAUAACUGGAGACCAGAGAGUAACUUUGAUGUUGGUUGGGGAUCUAUCGAGCAAGGGAUCAAGAGAAGUAGCAAAAACCUACAAAAGUGGAGCAGGGCUACGUUUAAGAGAGCUGAUAGGGAGAUUUCUAGUCUCAAAAGAAAACUUGAGACCCUCCUAAACAAGACUCCCACUGUCCAGGUCAAUGAAGACAUAAAGAAAACCAAGGCUAGCAUUGCUGAACUAUGGCGGCAAGAAGAAAAAUAUUGGGGACAACGCUCCCGCCUUAAGUGGCUCAAAUGGGGAGAUAGAAACUCAAAGUUUUUCCAUGCCACGACUAUUCAAAAGCGAGGACGGAAUCACAUUACCAAAAUCAUGGAUGAGUCAGGCACAUGGAAGGAAGGUACUACUGAAAUUCUUGUUGCCAUUGAGGAUUUUUAUUCUAACCUUUUCAGGUCCUCGGGCCAGAGGGAGAUUUUAAAAGGAACCUCAGCUAUCCCUAGGAAAGUUCUCCAGUCGUGCAAUGAGAGCAUUGAGGAACCUGUUACGGAGGCUGAAGUAAAGCUGGCUAUAGACAGCCUUGGUGAGCUCAAGGCUCCAGGACCUGAUGGUCUUAACGGCCUAUUUUACAAGCAACAUUGGUCUACCAUAAAAGAUGAUGUUUGUACAGCAGUCAAGAGCUUCUUCCAGGAGGGCACCCUACCAAGCUUCAAAAGUGGAUAAACCUGAGAAAAUUGGCCAGCUCCGGCCGAUAAGUUGUUGUAACUUCCUAUACAAGGUCAUGGUCACCAAGCUCAAGCCCUACAUGAAUGAUAUGGUUACUCAAGCUCAAAGUGCCUUCAUUGGUGGACGACAAAUCCAAGACAACAUCCUUGUAGCCCAAGAAGUCUUCCACUUUCUGAAAAAAUCUAGAAGAGGACAAGAGGAAUACAUGGCCCUCAAACUAGACAUGAACAAGGCCUAUGACCGUUUAGAGUGGGACUUCAUCCAACCUUGCCUAGAAACUUUUGGCUGUAGCCCAACAUGGGUGGAUAUAAUUAUGACUUGUGUGCGAGGAGCCUCUUACAAAUUCAAGGUCAAUGGUGAAACGAGUAAAAGAAUCUUUCCACAAAGAGGUUUGAGGCAAGGGGAUCCCCUCUCACCUUACUUACUUGUCCUUGCUUCAGAGGCAAUGUCUUAUAUGCUCACCAAAGCCCAAGAGGAAGGCAAUCUCAAGGGCAUUAGAAUGGCCCUUAGCUGCCCCCCCCAUUACCCAUCUCUUCUUUGCUAAUGACUCACUAUUCUUUGCCCAAGCUACCAAGGAGGAGGCCUACCACCUCAUCACCAUCCUCAAUGACUACACCACUGCCUCGGGUCAAAAGUUAAGUGUGGAGAAAUCCGGCAUUGUCUUCAGCAAGUCCACAUCCUCAACAACAAGAAGAGAAAUCCCAGCCAUCUUAAAGAUGAAUGAAUGGGAGGCUCCGGGCAAAUACCUUGGUCUUCCGGCUGAGUGGGGAAGGUCAAAGAGCAACACACUCAAUUGGCUUAAACUUAGAGUCCUAGAAAAGAUUGAUGGGUGGAAGGAAAAACUUCUCAACCAAGCGGGGAAAGAAGUGUUAAUCAAAGCGGUUAUCCAAGCAAUCUCCUCCUAUGCCAUGUCCAUCGUUCGCUUUCCUAAAGGCUUUUGCAAAUCACUUUGCUCAAGUAUAGCUAGAUUUUGGUGGAGGAACACCGGUCGGGAGAGAGGUAUUCAUUGGAAGGAUUGGAGCUCUAUAUCCAAAGCUAAGAGUAGAGGUGGGCUCGGGUUCAAGGACUUCUCUUUGAUGAACCUAGCCUUGCUAGCCAAGCAAGCAUGGAGAGCUUAUAAUAACCCUGAAUCUCUAUGGGUCAAGGUCCUCAAGGGACUCUACUUCCCGAGGACUGAUCUAAUGAAGGCUACUAAGGGGAGAGGUACUUCCUGGGGUUGGCAAAGCCUAGUGCAAGGUAAAGAUUUUCUAAGAAAAGCUGGCUUGUGGUUAAUUGGAGAUGGCAAUACAGUAGAGGUAUGGAACGAUAAAUGGAUCUCGACUUCUCCUCUACAAAUCCCUGAAAAUGCUCAACCAGAUUUGCUUGUUAGUGCCCUCUUCCAACCACAACAGCAACAAUGGGACACCCAGAAGCUGCUCUCUACCCUCCCAAGGGAAGCUGCGCUUAAAGCCUUACAAAUCCCCCUUGGUUUUGAACCUGAGGAAGACCUCCUCUGUUGGCCCUAUUCUAAGGAUGGUAACUAUACGGUGAAGACAGGCUACCAAGUGGCGGUUUCCAUCAACUCAUUAGAACCAUCUACAUCUAAUCCUAGCCACCCCAAUGAGGAAGAGCCGAUUUGGAAGCUUAUCUGGAGCCUUUAUGUCCCACAGAAAAUCAAGAUGUUUUUGUGGAAGGCUUGCAAUGGUGCCCUCCCGGUCAAAGCAACUAUCUUUCGUCGCCAUAUCACUCCUGAUGCAACGUGCCCUCAUUGCAACAGUGCGACUGAAGACAUCCCUCAUGCCCUCCUUGGUUGCGAAUGGACAGGUGAGGUCUGGCACCAUUCUCAACUUCAAUUUGACUCCUCACAGGCAGCGGCAAUGCCCUUGAAGGACUAGAUUCUUUUUAUGGACUCUCUUCUCUCCAACCAGAAUGAAACUCACCAUGAGAAUCUUGCUAUAAUGGCCCAUUACCUUUGGGGAAUUUGGAAAGAAAGAAACGAUUGUCAUUUCCAAGGAAGGGCUACCCAGCCUUUAGCCACUGCCGUGAAGAUCAAGGCAAGGUUGGUCCCGAUAGAUGAUCCCACAGUACAGAGUAGAGCUGCAACCCUGUCCACUAAGCGCAUUUACUCAGCUCCUUAGACCCUCCCUCCCCCAGGAACUCUGAAGCUUAACACCGACGCUACCUUUUUCCUGGUCAAUAACAGAGGCUCCAUUGCAGUUAUAUGCAAGGAUGAAAAAGGUGCAACUAUUCUCUCCCACUCCAGACCAAUUCUUGCUCCUAACCCGUUUGUGGCUGAAGCUAUUGCCAUGCGUGAAGCCUUGCUACUUGCUAUGAACUUGGAGUUCCCCAAAAUCUAUGUCUUCUCGGAUAACCUUAAGUUGGUAUCCCUGAUUAGAGAGAGGAAACGAGAAUGGAUUGUGGACCCCCUCCUGAGAGAUAUACAAAGACUUAGAUCAACUUUCAGAACAUGUGGUUUCUUUUGGACCCCAAGACAAAACAACCAACAAGCUCACUCUCACGCAAGACAUGCUUUCUACCAAGGAACGGGUGCUGGCCUUAGACAGAGUUAGGGAAUGAACUGAUCUUUAGUUUCCCACUUUCAGUGGUGUUAGCUUCGGGCCCCUUAGAUUUGCUGCUUUUGUUCUUAGGUUUGUAUUCCUAUUUGUAUGAUUGGGCCCAGCUACUAUUGUAUCCUCUAGCAGACUUUGCUGCGCUUUUAUGGAAUCAUGAUCCAUUGUCCAAAAAAAAAAACCAAAUUAUUAACUGAGCAUACUUGUACAACUCCAAAUUUGAAUAAAUGUUUGGUAGAUUAAGCUUGGGUCUCUGCUAUGGAGUAAAGCAUGAGUUCAUGAACAUAAUCGUUUAUAGAAAUACAUCAAAUUGGGUACAAACACAAAUCUCACAACAAAUUAUGAAAUAUAAGAGAUAUAGUAUUUACAACUAAUUAUAGCAAAAUUACUUACGACGACGACACAUAACAGUGUGAAUUAUGAAAACUAGUGUUGAAUUCAAUCACAGACAAAGCCGCAAUCAAAUUCAUUAAUACAGCAAAAAAUUAAUCAAAUUGAAAAGUAAGGGGAAAAAUACCAGAAGAUAAACUCAAGCUAGAGGUGGAGGAGGAACAAGAGGGCGAAGAGGAAGAUGGAGCCCCUGAAACGCAUUUGAAGACCAAUGGGGCGCGGAGCAGAGCAACCAUGGUGAUGGCAGAGGCGAGCAUGAUUGAGUAGAGGAUUGUUUGUUGUUGAAAUUAAUAGUCGGAGAGGGAGAAAAGAGAGGACUUUAGCGAGUGCAAAAGCUGGAGGAUGUGUGAUUUCCACCCACGAGGACACCCAUUGAUUUUUGGAAGGUUAACCAGACCCUUCUUGGAGCUCUCUUCUUCUGUGAUGGCUCGUACUAGCAGAUUGGAGUGUGGGAGCGGUGGCGUGAUUUUGGAUUUGCAGAAUGAGAGGGGAUGAGGGAGUGAUGGUGCUAGAUAGAAGAAACUAGCCAUAAGUGUGGGUUUUUGGAAGAAAAAUGUUGUAUGUGGGCCAGGAUGAAAAUUUCAGUCCAUGGAUGUGGUGUUUGGAUGAAGAUGAAGGGAAUGAAAUUGUGAUAAUUAUCUGGGUUCGUGUUUAUUGUAUUUUGGUGAAUAAACAUGAUAUAAAUAAAUCUUAGUUCAUGACAUUAUCACUUGUGUAUAGCUCAACUCGUAAAGUGUGUGUUUUGCUAGUACAAGGUCCUAGGUUAAAAUCUGGCAAAAUAUGCUUUUUAGCCUAAAUGAAAUAAAAUAAAAUUGACAAAUUAGUCUAACAUGAAAACAAAUGAGAUAUAUACUAGAAGUUGUUAAUUUUUAUUCAUCACCCUUUAUUUAAUUAAACCCAUGAUAGACAACUUAUUGAUAGACAACUUAUUUAUUCCAUGGAUAACAUGAUAAUAGACCGCCCCAUGUCUUGAAACAGGGUCCUUUUUGCUUUAUAAACCAAACACAAUUAUCACACCUUCCAAUAUCCCUUGUUUCUAUGUAUAUAUCGUACCAUUUAGUGACAUUUUGCCACUGAAAUGUACCAUAGAAUUGUGUAGUGACAAAAAUACCAGGUCCAAAACUCCAAUCAAAUGAGUCACCAGGAUGCAGAAUGUGCCUUCCAAGAUCAUCAUCUGCAGACUUGAUGUGAAUGGUUAGGUCCAAAUUCCCCUCCAAAGAAUUUACGACCGUCACAUGUGUUUUGGCAGAUGUCAACAAGAACAUGCAUAGUAAAAGAAAACAUUUUAUAAAUAGAUCCAUUUCACUUUGAUGAACCAUUUGUCGGUCAUUGUAUAGGGAAUUUUGUUAUAUAUAGACCAUUCCCUCAACCAUUUGCCUGAGUUUUACAUUAAUAUCAAUGCUUAAUAAUUAUUAGGGCCCGUUUGGUGGUUAUGAUAUGAUAUGAUAGGAUAUGAUAUGUGAGCAUGAUAGUAACAGGAUAGGAUAAGAGCAGGAUAGACUCUUAUCCUAUCCUGUGUUUGAGGUGCACAUGAUAAGGACAGAAUAUGAUAAAAAAAUGUUAUAUUUGAAUAAAAAUACAUUUAAAAAUUGAUCAUUCUAUUAAAUUUAUUUUUUUUACAUUUUCAUGAAUGAGUCUAUAUUUUAAAAUAACUAAAAUUAAUUUAAAUUUGACUAAUUAGCCUACUUUAUUUUUUUGCACAUAGCUUGUAUUUUAAAUAAAAUUAUGCUAUUAACCAAUUGGUUUUCACUUAGUUGUGACACGUGAUAAAUAAUAAAAAUUAACUAAAUUAAAAAUAUUAUUAUUUCAAAAAUACUUUAUAUUUAAAUUAUUAUUAAUUUUUAAAUAAUAGGAGUUGAAAAAUAUUAAAUUAGUCUAUUACUAUUAAUACAUCAAUAUUUGUAGUCUAUUUUACUAUUUAUGAAUAAUAAUUUUAUUUAUUUUUAUUUUAUUUAAAUUAAUAUUUUUAUAUUUAUUUAUGAAUAUUAUUAUAAAUUAUAUAAUAUUAAAAUAAUUUAAUUUGGAGUUAGGAUACUGAAAAAAAAUAUAAUUGGUAUCCUAUCUUGUUCUAUCAUAGCUCCCCCCCUCAUAAUAACUUUUACACAUGAUGGACAGGAUAGGAUAGGAGACAGGAUAGCGCUAUCCUAUCCUGUUGGUGCAACAAACAACAGAUAACAACAGCAUAUGAUUAUUAUCCUGUCAUAUCCUAUCUUGUCCUGGCUACCAAACGGACCCUUAAUGGCCAUUAUAUUAUUAUCAAUUAUCAUAUAAAUCUAUAAUUAAUUUUAAAUAUUAUUAACUUGUAGAAAAUAUUUACAUAUAUAUGAUAUGGAUUUAUAGAAAAUAUUAUUUAUUAAUUAUAAAAAAUUUACUUUAUAUAAAUAAAAUAUUUGUAUUUUAACUAUUAUCAAAUUGAACGAGGGAAAUUCAUUAAUAUUUUUCAUAUAUGUAAAUUGCAUAAUUAACCAGAAUUUGUCAUUUAAAAGUAAUAUUUUAAUUUUUUUAAAUAAUAUGUACAAUAUUAAUUCCAAUUUACGUGCACAUUAUUAUAAAAAUAUUAAAUAUACUUAAUGAUGUAACUAAAACUGGUGAAAUAAUUUUUACAUUAAUUAAGUAUUUAAUACCUAGUAAUGACCAUUAUAUUAUUAAAUUUAAUUUUAUAAUAUGUAUAAAAAAAUUAAAUAUUUAUAUAUUUAAAAUUUUAAUUGAAACAACUUGAAAAAAAAAUUGACCAUUAAUAACAAUAUUCAUUAUUUGUCGAUAUACUUUUAUAAUAUACAUUUUAUUAAUUAAUAAUUUUAAAAAAACAAUUUAUAAUAUAUAUAUAAUUAAAUAUUAUUAUCAUUCCAAAAUUUAAUUUUAAUAAAUUGUUUUUUUUAUAUUAGCAUAGUCAUCAAUCAAUCUCAAUAUAGAUAAGUAAAAUUCACUUGACCUAUACAUUAAUAAAAAUAUAAAUUAUUUAUCAAUUAAAUUUUAUAUUAUUCAUUAUAUUAAUUACUAAUUGUAAAUUUUUUAGUUUUUUAUAUUUAAAAAUUAUUAUUGUUAAAAUUUUGAUUAUUAAUCACAUCUUGAGAAAAGAAAUUAAAAAUAACAAUAAUUUUUUUGGAUAACAAAAAGCAUAUAUUGAUAGAGAGAAAAAUAACAAUGAUAAUAAUAAGGUAAAUUAAAAUGGACUAAAAUUAAGAAAAUAUUAAUUAGUUAUUGAUAACCUUUUAUAUUAUUCAUUAUAUUAAUUACUAAUUGUAAAAAAAUAAUUCAUUUUUUCCCAAGGUAUCCUCACAGCUGGCAUCUGUGAGGCUUAUCCCUUGAGACUCUGAUGAGAUCAUGUUAAGUGGGUACGCCCAGUGGCGGAUCCAGGACCCCAGGGUCAGGGGAUUCAAAUUUUUCAAAUGAGCACAUCGAUAAAAAUAUAAUUAAAACCAACUGUAAUAUGUUUAUACAUAUUAAACAUAUUACAAGAGUAGUAUUUACAAUCAAUGAAUGAAAGUUGAUUUAACAUGGCCUAGUUACAAUUGGAUACCUACACAUAAUUCAACAUAAAAACAUACUUAGGAGGAUGGGCUGCAUAAUAAUAGAAGCAGCAUGUCUAAAAUUACACUGUCCUUUGUACUUGGACAUUACAAAAUGAGGGGGGUUAAAUGUAAUAAACUACAAAUUAACCGAGGGAAUUGAUCUACUUUUCUUUUACAAUAAAUCUGAUAGAAACUAAGGUCGGGUUUCAAUUUCAAUUUCAAUGAAGCAGUUUUAUUAGUACCAUUUUGGGUCUAUAAUGGCUGCAGGUGCAACACGCAUCUGUCAAUUAAGUAAGAAAUUUAGAGGAUAAAAUCAUAAAAGAAAGGAGCAGAAAAGGAACUGCAGAGGAUUAACAAUGCACUUAUGAAGCAUAACAAACAAAAACAGGAAUCAACAAGGUGAUUGAAUUGACACAUUUUGUGAGAUAAAACUAACCAUUCACACAGAUACAAUGGCUUUGGUGUUCCCAAACUCAGCACAAGCAGCAGAUCCUAUGCAGCAUUCACAGAACCAGUGCUGAAAACUGCAAGUCACCACAAACCAGUGCAACCAAAAAGGGAUCAAAUUUAUUUAAUCUUCCAUGACUUCACAGUUCACAGUUCACAUACAUACAUUAAGAUAAGCUUGUCAAUACACAUUAUCAUAUGUUGCUUUCCUGAUGUAUUGAACAAACCACGCUCUUUUCAAACUGAAAAUGACCUUUAGCUUUACCUCAAAGUAGGUGAUGAAUUUAAAUAAUUUUUUAUUUUCCCAGUCCCACUCUUAUUUUUUCUAAGAAUCACUUUUCCACAUUAUUUUCCCUUUUAUUAUAACAUCAUACAUCUCUCUUUUUUCCUUUUUCUCCUCUUCUUUUCACUUUCUAUUUCUCUCUACCCUGCACUCCUUCCAUAUUUUAAGGGUAUGAAAGGAUCUUUAUCAAUAUAAAUAAGUGCUAAAAAGCAUAAUAUUAUAUAGGUAGCAAGACAGCAUCCAGUGAAUGAAAAUCCAAUAAAUGGAACAGUUAAGAGCUAUGUGUCUUGAGCUUACAUUUUCUUAAUCACUUCAACAAAAUUUCCUUAAUUUAGAAUCAGAACAUCCUAAUACCAUAUACAAUUGUCAUGAAUGUUUUGCUCAUCCUCAUUGUGGCAUCACUUCUAGUUUCUAAACAAACCCAAAUGCUGAGAAUCAAAUAUGAUUCAAUUCAGCUUCAUGCCUUCAUCCCUCACAUAGGACCAUAGGGGUCAGAAUAGAAAAAACAUAAUAACACUAGGCCAACUUGCUACAGGACAUGAACAUAAGAUAAAACAGAUGAAACCAAACAUAGGAAAAAUAAGCUACAAAUUAAUAAGUCACAGCAAGUUAGGAAAGAACUUACUACUUAAUACAUCAGCAAUUGCUAAAUUAAAAAUCAAACCAUUUCCCUUCACAUUCCAGGCAAUAAACUUGAACUUGAACUUGAACUUCAGAUCAAGGCAAUAAACUUCAAUAGCAGAUCAAGGCAAUAAACUACAGAUCAAGGGGUCUUCAAUUUUUGAGUUUUCAAUUUUGGGUUUUUCAAUUUUGGGGUUUUCCAAUACCUAAACCUAACUAACCUUCAACAGCAGCAGAGAUGGACGGCGUCAGUGCCGGUGGUGCCGUGGCGGUGGCCGGUAGUGCCGUGUUGGUGCGUUGUGCGGCCGGCCUGUGGUGCUGUGGUGGAUUGGUGGUGCGUUCGUGAGUGAGGUAAACGGAAGCGAGAACCAGAGCAGAAUGAGAAUGAGUGCGUGACAGAGAGAGAAAGGAGUGAGGAGUGCUGUAGUGGGGUCUGGGUGGCUGGGUGCAAUUUUAAAAUUUCAGGGGGUUCAAAACAAAAUCAUUAUAGGGGGGUAAGUAGGAAUUUUUUUUUUCAGGGGGUUCAACUGAACCCCUCAGCUCUACGUGGGUCCGCCCCUGGGUACGCCUCUUCCAAAAAAUCAUUCUCCAGACGCACCGCCAAGGAAUCAGACUAGACUAUAUAGUAAUUAAGAGGCUCAGUUAUGUACUAAUCGUGUCAGACCUUGUUGGUCAAUUUCUUAUAUUUAGAUUUAAAAUUAAAGAUUAAUAAUAUUUAACUUUUAAUGAUUAAUCACAACUUAGGAAAAAGUUUACCUUUACAUUAAUUAGAAUACAAUAAUGAUAUAUACACACCUCAUUUUUUAAACACUUCAUUUCCACAUAUUUUUGUUUAUAUCUCUUCUUUUAUCAUCUAUCACAUCUCAUACUUUCUCUCUCUUACUUUUUCUUUUCUUCUUAUCUCUCUCCUCAUUCCACCUCUUCCACCUCAAAAAAAGGUGUGUAAGUAACAUUAUUGAUUUGAAUAUUAAUUAAUAUUUAAUAAUCUUCCAUAUUUAUAACUAAUUAUAAAACUUUUUAAUUUCUCAUAUAUUAAAAUUAAAAUUAAGAUUAAUAUUAAUUCAAUUUUAAUUAUUAAUAAAAAUUAGCAAUUUCUUAAAAAUAAUAAAUUAUUUCACUUGCCCUAUAAAUAAAAAAUUAGAUAUUAAUAAUAUUUUAUAUUAUUCAUUGCAGUAAUUUCUAAUUGUUAAAAAAUUCAAUUUCUUAUAUUUAAAAUUAACUAUUAUAUUUUUUUAAUUAUUAAUCACAACUUGAGGAUUUUUCAUCGCUGAAUGAUUUGUUGAUAUUAAUAUUUUGAUACUUUUUUAUUAAUUAAUUAGUGAUUUUUCUAAUUAUCACAUAGUAAUUUUCCUAUUUAAAAAUUCGUAUUAUUCAAUAUGGUAAUAAAUGAUUUAAAUACAUUGAAAACUAAAUUAAAUAAAUUAGGUGUCACAAAAUCAAAUAUUAUGCAUAUUAUGUUAAUCAUAAAAAAAUCAAAAGAAAAAUUAUUUUAUAUGUCAAUUUAUUGGGAAAGACCUACCCACUUAAUGUAAUCUCAUGAUUCUUAGCUGUAAAAAUACCUUGAGGAACCAAUACAUAUAUCCAUAUAACCCUACAAGAAUAAAAUUGAAUUUAUUUCAAGUAUAAUGUUAACGUAUUACAUAAACAUUGCACUAUGUGAAUUAGUCAUUUUUUAUUUUUUUUAUAAUUAAUAAUUAAUUCUCCAAUUAUUUUCUUUAAAUAGUUAUUGAUAUAUAGUAAUUGUGUGUCCAAGUGCAAGUGAGUAUGUCUCUCCCAUUAAAUUCUUCUCAAUACGUACCACAUGGAGAUCAAACUCUACACUGGAUGCUUAAAAAGCUUAGCUAUCUAUUAGUUGUGUUAGACCUUGUUAAUAUAUAGAUACUAGUGUUAACAUAUAAGAUAGAAAAACCAAAGCAACCUGUUCUGUACUAGGGCAAGCUUACGUAAGAGAAAGACAAAAAGUAAACCCUAGCAGAGCACUAAAAUAGCAAAACUACCAUAAAAGGAAUAUUCUCAUUAAUGCUGAAAAAGUUGGUUUUGUACAAGUGGAUGACCUCCCCUUUUAUAGAGGGGGUGGUCAUGAUAUGGACCUUUCCUAUAUUUGGGCCUGACAACCAGGGCCCAAAUUCCUAUACAUAUAAGACAAAUCAAGGAGAAUCUUCCAGCUGGCUCGUGGGUCCCCCUAAGGGAAGACAAAGAUAUUAGCUGUGUCGAUGAUUCCCGCCGUGGUUGUCUUCACUCUUGGGCGGGCAUGAGCAUUGUGUAUGCCCCGCCCAGUCCACAGCCGUGGUUGUCUUCACUCUUGGGCGGGCAUGAGCAUUGUGUAUGCCCCGCCCAGUCCACAUGCCCCCAAGACAUGAGGUUCAAGUAACUUGAGUCAAAAUGUCUUUAAUAUGCAACUUUGUCGCCCGUUUUUAUCGUUUGCUUUGCGACGUGUCAGGAUACUACUAUUUUUCGCCACAUCUUUGUUACAUCGCCAUUUUAUUUUCGUUGUUACAUCGCCCUUUUACUUUCGCUGUUACAUCGCCAUUUUCACGCUUCGCCACCUUUGUUGCAGUUUCAAAGAUAUGUCGCCAUUAAUCAUAACCGUCAAUCACGUCUUUUCAACUGACGCACGUAUCCUUGUUUUCCGGGAUUUCGUCAUCAUUUGUUAUAAAUGCAAUUUUCAGUUGUGCGUCUCGAGGAGUAAUGUCUUUUCGCUUCCUACCUUUUCGAAUUUCAAAUCCCACAAUCCCACGAUCUUCCCCCACUCAUUCUCUCUCCUCCUUUCUCUCUAUAAAAACCCCUUUUCACUUUUCCUUUUUCACUUUCUUAAAACUUUUGUUCUGAAAACCUUUUCACCGCAGCUUUCAUUCUCUUCUUUGAACUCCGGUGAACCUUUUCUUCCUCCGGCCGUCGUCAUUGCGCGGUGCUCCCCUAUCGCCGACGUUCUCCUUUCUCAAAUCCACAGUUCUUCCCCUGGUUAGUUUUUCUCUUUCCUGAGAUUCUUCGUUUACUUCUUUUUUCUCUGACUCUGUUCAUCUUCUUUCUUCUUUUUAUGAAACUGCCUCGUAUGUCUUUACCAAACGCUAGCCUUUCUUCCCUAGAACUUUCUUCACCCUCCACGGAGGAGGAAGUUGUCACCCCCUCUAUAAUUGAAAUUCACUCCUCGCCUUCUACCCAUGAUGAUUCCGGUCCCGCCGGCUCUGUAGACUCAAUUCUCUCCUCUAAUGGAGAUUUGUCUUCACCUGAAUGGCGCUCUAACGCGCAUUUAGUUGAAGAUAAAUGUCUGUUGCGUUCUAUCUGGAGCAGCGUUGGGAGCAUUAAUUCGCUUCGAAUAUCUGCUCAAGGGUUCACGAAGAUAAAUCCCGCCACCUCGAAUAAUGAAGAUCAUCUGUUGAAUGUCCUCCCAUGUGGCGAAGAUGACUGUGUUCUGUUGCGUAAAGAACCAGCCGAUGAAUCGCCCGAUUUCUUCUUUGUUUAUGGCUAUUUCUUCUUAGACUUGAACAUCAAACUUCCUUUCUCGCCGUUUAUAUGUCACGUUCUUUCUUUUCUGAAUGUGGCGCCUUGCCAACUCCAGCCCAACGCCUGGGGUUUUCUCCGCUGCUUUGAAAUUCUUUGUGAACACUUGAGUUUCACUCCAACCUAUCCUUUGUUCUUCCUUUUCUAUAAAUCAGUCACCACUAAACCUACUUCUGUGAAAUGGGUUCCACUCUUAGCCCGUAAGAACAUGAGUCGGUUCACCGCCCUUAAAAGCCAUUACAAAGUAUGGCAGAAAAAAUACUUUAAAGUUAUGGAGUCGCCCGAAAUAAAGAACUUGUUCCGAGAUUCCGACAAUAACCCUCUCUUCCCUUUUUACUGGACAAAGAACCCUCGCCGAAAAAUAUCCAUUUCAUACGACGCCUUGGAUGAAUCUGAACAAGGCGUCGCCGAUUACCUCCGCACACUACCAGUAAUUUCUGGUCACGACUUGAUUGAGGCGUCGAAAUUCGGCACUUUAAAUCAAUUUUUUAGUAAGUUUAUAAUCUUUGCAUGUAACUUGUUUUUCUCUUUGUUCAUGUAUCUCGUCUAAUUGGUGUUUUCCAUACAGCUACGAUGGGAAAAAGCAAGGUUGACGCGAACCCAAUCAAGAUGAAGGAAUACCUCGCCCAGUCUGCUGCGGCGGCGAAGAAGAGGGCCGCCGAAACUGAGCAAAAGAAGAAGAAUGAAGGUACUUCGGGUUCUGACAACGUCAGGGACCCUAAACGUCAAAAAACCUCAGGUGCUGCUGGUGGUAAGCCUCUCCACCAAUCGACUCUCGAUCCAAAAAGUCAUCCGGCUGAGAAAAAGAAGGGACAUGACAAUGUCCCGCCCCCUCAACAAGAUUCAAGCGCGCUAAUCAACCGCCCACCAACUCCAUUUAACCAAGCUGGCCCUAGCUCAGCCAUUGGUGGCGAGGCUCCUCCCCCCUUGCUGAACUUGUCGGAUCCUCACUUCAAUGGGCUGGAAUUCAUGACCCGUACUUUUGACAACCGGAUUCACAAGGACAUUUCCGGUCAAGGCCCCCCCAACAUUGCUUCCGUGGCGAUCCAUCACGCGCUUUCUGCCGCCAGUACUGUGGCGGGAAUGGCUCAGUGCGUGAAGGAGUUGAUAUCGGCCAAGAACCGUUAUGAAAAGAAGGCGGCUGAUUAUAAGACUGCAUAUGAGCGAGCGAAGGCCGAUGCUGAAACCGCCAACAAGAAGCUGAAGGUCGUCGAGGAGAAGUGUGCUAAGUUAGCUGAUGACUUGGCUGCUUCUGACUUGCUCCUUCAGAAGACCAAGUCCCUAAAGGAAACUAUCAACGACAAACACACUGCUGUUCAGGCCAAGUGUCAAAAACUGGAAAAGAAGUACGAACGCCUAAGUGCUUCCAUCUUGGGGCGUGCUUCUCUCCAGUUUGCUCAAGGCUUUCUGGCGGCCAAAGAGCAAAUUAGUGUGGUUGAGCCGGGCUUUGAUCUUUCCCGUAUUGGGUGGCUGAAGGAGAUCAAGGAUGGUCAAGUAGUUGGUGAUGAUGACAUUAGCCUCGACCUCCUUCCCCAAUUCGAUGAUGAAAGUGAGCCUGAAGAAGAUGGCGAGGAUGGGAAUGAGCAGCACAAGAACGAGGAUCACGAGAAGGAAGACCCUCAAGCUGGGACAAGCCAGGGCAACAACGCCAACAAUGAGAAUCUGGCUUGAAUUUGUAAUUUGUUUUUAUUUUGUUGAGUCAUCUUUUAUCUUUGGGGCCUUGCCCCUUUUGUCUUUUUUCAUUCCAAAUUAUGUACGGGCGUCGCCCCUUUUUCUUGCUUUUAAUGAAGACCGUUUUAAAUUUUGUUGUUACCUUGAGUUGUUGUCAAUUAUUGUUGUUGCUUAGGUCUAUAUACCUUAGUCGAUUUUUCGACGAGGCUUGGUUUCUAGUGGCCACUAGAAUUGCCAAGGCUUGCAAUAUUGGAUGGCGAUACUUUCUUAUUCCGAAAGGUUUAUUCGCAGUAUUAUAUACCUUGAUACGAUUUACUUUGCAUAAACUCGUAAUAUAAAUUAAAAAGUAACUUCUGUUGAAAUAAUCUUCAUUUAUUUUUCAUACUCAUACAUGGGAAUGAUUGUCCCUUCAUUCUUUAUACAUGCCGCCUCAUUAAAAACCUCUACAAAGAAAGGAAAAAAGAGUGCGGCUUCAUUCACCUUUGUUGUUUCUUUUAACUAAAAUACUGCUUUAGAUGAGAGGCGUUCCAUGUUCGUGGAACCUUUUGACCGCUUAGUUGUUCCAACUUAUAAGCUCCUCCCCCAACAUCGCCUAUAAUCCUGUAAGGCCCACCCCAAUUGGGCGAAAGCUUGUUGUGCUUAUCAGGUAUUGUGUUUUUUCGGAGCACCAAAUCUCCCACCCUCAUUUUUCUUGGCACGACUUUUGUUGAGAAUUUUCUUGCGACCUUCACUUUCCCCGCCUCGUUUCUUAUGUGUGCCUCCCGUUGCUCUUCUGGCAACAUAAUCAGAUUUGCUAUCAGAUUUUCCCCGUUGUCAUUCUCAUUAAACCGAGCCACUCGCCAACUUUGGUUUUCUAUUUCCACUGGGAGCAUGGCGUCAGUUCCAUAAGUUAAACGAUACGGGGUUUCCUUUGUGCUUGACUGUUCCGUGGUGUUGUAUGCCCAAAGAACGCCUGGUAGUUCCUCCGCCCAAAGCCCUUUUGCUUCAUCCAGUUUCUUUUUUAAACCUUUCAGGAUAACCUUGUUAGCCGACUCAGCCUGCCCAUUGGUUUGUGGAUGUUCUACAGAGGCAAAUCGCAUCUCGAUUCCCAUUUCUGCACAGAAUUCCCGGGUAACACUACUUGUGAAUUGGGUUCCAUUAUCCAUUACUAAUGCCAUGGGGACCCCAAAUCUACAAACGAUCCUUCGCCACAGGAAGUUCCUGACCUUGGCGGCUGUGAUAGUCGCCACUGCCUCGGCUUCUAUCCACUUAGUGAAGUAAUCAACCGCCAUGAUGAUGUACUUCAUUUGUGCCUUCGCUACAGGGAAUGGUCCUAAGAUAUCAGUCCCCCACAUGGCAAACGGCCAAGGCGCCAUCAUAGUUGUUAAUUCUUCUGGUGGAGCCUUGUGUAAGUCAGAAAAGACUUGACAUUUUUCACAUUUCUUAACAUACUCCAAACAAUCCUUCUUCAUUGUUGGCCAAUAGAAUCCUGCUCUUAUCACUUUUAUUGCCAAGGAUCGCCCGCCGAUAUGACUAGAACACACACCUUUGUGGACUUCCGCCAUUAUUCCGAGGGCGUCCUUGGUAUCGACACAUUUGAGCAUAGGAGACAUGAUUCCCCGUCGAUACAACUCACCAUCCACCAGUGUGUAGAAACUGGCUUCCCUGCGUUUUGUUCUCGUGUUCAAAUCAUCCUCCUUUGGUGGGUUCUCUAAGAAGGUCUUAAUCGAUUCCAUCCAAGGUAGCUCGCCCUCACUGACUGAUUUUACAGCUUUCAACUUUAUUUCUACCAAAUCAAUGCUCGGGCGAGGCAGGGUUUCUUGAAUGACUGUUUGGUAGUUGCCCAAUCUCCCUGUGCUUGCCAACUUCGCCAACACAUCAGCCCUCUCAUUUUGUCCCCUCGGGACAUGUUCUAUUUUGAUUUCUUUGACCUCCAUCAUCAAUCUGCGCACCACUUCCAAAUAUUUGGACAGUUGCGGAUCCUUCACCUGGUACUCGCCUUUCACUUGUUUAACCACUAACUGCGAAUCUCCUUUGAUAAAUAACUUCUGGACUCCCAACUCAAUGGCCAACCUUAAGCCGGCAAUCAGAGCCUCAUACUCAGAUUGAUUAUUGCUCGCCUUGAACUCGAACUUGAGAGACUGUUCAAUGAUCAUUUUAUCUGGACUUUCAAUUGUUAUUCCCGCCCCACUUCCAGUGUUAUUAGAGGACCCAUCCACAGACAGGACCCAUUCUCCUUGAGUCUUCUCACCUUCAGUGGGUGUUAAUUCCGCCACGAAGUCAAUUAAACUUUGGACAGUGACUUGGCCCCUUGGCUCAUAUUGUAUGUCAUAUUCUGAUAACUCAACUGACCAGCUAACCAAUCGCCCUGAUAAAUCAGGCUUCUGAAGUACUUGCCUUAAGGGAACAUCAGUUUUGACUUUGACUUGGAAACUUUGGAAGUAAGGCCUGAGGCGCCUUGCAGUUUUCAGAAUCGCCAAAGCCGCCUUUUCAAUUUUUUGGUACCGCAACUCUGCCCCCUGUAAAGUAUGGCUCACGAAAUAUAUAACUUUCUGCUUUUUUCCUUCUUCCUGAAGCAACACCGUACUUACUGCCUUGUCAGUAACCGCUAAAUAGAGCACUAAUGGAACGCCUGGUGUUGGCUUGGAGAGUACCGGUAAUGUGGCCAAUGUUUCUUUCAAUUUGGUAAAAGCUUGUUCGCAUUCCUCUGUCCACUGAAACUUUGAAUUCUUUUUUAAACAUGUGAAGAACGGGGCCGCUUUGUCACCCGCCAUUGGCAAGAAACGUGACAAGGCGGCCAUUCGCCCUGUCAAACGCUGAACCUCCUUUACACUUGUUGGGCUUUUCAUCUCCAAGAUCGCCCUUCCCUUAUCAGGGUUCACUUCUAUUCCUCUUGAUGUUAACAUAAAUCCCAAGAACUUUCCUCCCUGGAUCCCAAAAGAACACUUCUCAGGAUUCAACUUCAUUUGAUAUGUUCUUAACUGAUCAAACGCUUCUUUGAGGUCGCCACCAUGAUCACUAGCCCUGGCGGACUUUACAAUCAUGUCGUCCACAUACACCUCCAUAUUCCUGCCUACUUGUUUUGAAAAAAUUUUGUCCAUGAGCCGUUGGUACGUAGCUCCUGCAUUCUUCAAACCAAAAGGCAUUGUCUUGUAACAAUAGUUCGCCUGAUUGGUCAUAAAUGCUGUACUUUCCUCAUCCGAGGGAUGCAUCAUAAUCUGAUUAUAGCCCGAAUAAGCGUCCAUGAGACUUAAAAGUUCAUUCCCUGAAGCUCCAUCCACAAGCUUAUCAACAUUGGGAAGUGGGUACGAAUCUUUGGGACACACUUUGUUCAAGCUUGUGUAGUCCGUGCACAUUCGCCAUUUCCCAUUGGCCUUCUUGACCAUCACAACAUUGGCGAGCCACGUUGGGUACUGUACCUCACGGAUGAAGCGGGCCUUGAUUAAUUUUUCAGUCUCUAAUUGUACAGCCUUGUGCUUUUCUUCACUCAUUCUUCGCCUUGGUUGGAUGACUGGGGUCGCCCCUGGUCGUAUGGCUAGUUUGUGAGUGAUCACCUUGGGGUCAAUCCCUGGUACAUCAUUGAUGGUCCAUGCGAAGAGAUCUAGAUUAUCACCCAGAAGGGUGAUUAGUCUGUCCUCUUGUUCUGUUGUCAAACCACUGCCAAUCUUUAGAAACUUGUCCUUGACUUGCACCUGCUUGGUUUCUUCCAGAGGUUGUGGGCGAAAAUCAUCAGCCUCGUCCCUUGGGUCCAAGCUAAAUCCUUCUUGUGGGAAGAUUUCUGUAAUUCGAUGGCUCUCCCUGGCGGCCUUUCGCCCAUAGAGCGCCACGCUUCUUAAAUAGCAUUCCCUUGCUGCAUUCUGGUCUACACGCAAUAUCCCGACCUUCCCGUUGCAGGCGGGAUAUUUAACAGUUAAAUGAGCAGUUGAGAUGACCGCGCAGACCUUGUUGAGGGUGUCUCGCCCCAAGAGUACAUUGUAAUUGGCUCUACACGCCAAUACUAAGUACUUUACUUGAAAUUUCUUGACGAACUCUCAUUCUCCAAAGGCGGUCGGAAUUUCCACGUAUCCCCGCACACUGACACGGUCCCCUGUGAAUCCCACCAAGGUUCCCUUGUAUGGUUUCAAAUCUGAUUCCUUUAGUCCCAGGCGAUCGAAGGCGUCUCCAUAGAUGAUAUCCGCCGAAGAUCCCUGGUCUAAGAAUACUUUCUUUGUCACAUAAUUGUUAACCCUAAUUGUUACCACAAUUGGAUCGUUGUCAUGGGGAAUCACAUGCGCGAAAUCCUGAGGGGUAAAUAUAAUAGGGGAAUGAUUCACCCAACACUCGCCUUCGUUCGACUCCUGUACUGAAUGUACUGUCGCCACGUAGCGUUUUCUAGCCCUACUUGAAAUUGCACCCCCGCCAAAUCCUCCUGCAAUAGAUGAGCAUUCCCCAACAGGAUCGCCCAACUCUUCAACUAUCUCUUUACCUUUACCUUUGUCCUCCUGAGUGAUCUUAGCUACCUCCGGCGUUGCUGUGUCUUUAACAAAGUUCGCCAAAUGGCCAGCUUUAAUCAAACGAUCAAUUUCCCGCCUUAAAUUCCAACAAUUAUCUGUCGUAUGCCCCAACGCCUUGUGGUACUCGCACCACCUAUUGGUGUCCACGUUAGCUGGCGGCCGCCGUGGGGGUGGUGGGUACUGCACAACGUUGGUCUGCCCAACUGCCCUUAAAAUGGUACUUAAGGGUGCAUUCAACUUAGUAAGUGGGACUGGCGUUGGCGAAGCACCAGGCUGACCAGCUGUGGCAGCAGUGGGACCUUGUGAAUUUCUGUGUCAUGUAUUUUGAAAGCCAGGUUUAGAGUUUUGGUAUGGUCCCGGUCUUGGUACACGGGGGGUUUGCGCUACCCUGGUUUCCUUCCCCGCCUUGGAUUUGUCCUGUGAAACACCGCUAGAUUGAGACUGCUUGCGUCCUUCCUCUCUUUCUUGUUUCUUCUGAUCAUCUUGCUCGAUCAAUAUGAACUCUUGAACACGAGCGCGAAGAUCCAUCAUAUCCUUCGCCGGUCGCCUUGUUAAGUCUCUAUUCAAAUCUCCCGCCCGAAGGCCAUUUUUGAAUGACGCCAAACAGACAUCUGGAUUUUCCUCCUCCAACUGCACCGCCAUCUUGCUGAAGCGUGCCAUGUAGGUUUUUAAUUUCUCGCCUGGUUGCUGAUGUAUGCUGAUAAGAUCAAACAUUGUUGCUUUUGUGGUUUUAUUGGCGGAAAAUUGAGUCAGAAACUUAGUGGACAGAUCAGUGAAAUUAUCAAUGGAGAAGGGCGGUUGUCGAAUGAACCACUGCAUCGCCAUGCCUUUGAACGUGGAAGGCAAUAAUCGACAUUUUACCGCAUCCGUCGCCCCGCCGAUCACCAUUUUGGUAUUGAAAUAUCUAAGGUGCUCCAUAGGAUCAGAUUCGCCCGAAAAGGCGUCUAAUGCCAUGGUUUGCAGGUGCUUUGGAAUGUCCACCCUAGUGAUGGCUGGAACAAAAGGUUGAAAUUCAACUACAUCCUCCGCCUCCAGGCGUUGUUCUUGCUUAAAAUCCUGCCGCUGAGUGAGAUACUCAACUUGGGCUUGCAACUGCUCGUUUUGGGACUGCACCUUCUGUAAGGUAUCUAACAUUUGUUGCAAAGCCGCAGGCGUGAUACCUGUCACUGCCUCUUGCGCUCUCCGUGGAGCAGUGGUUUUAAGAUCUUCCAAGUUCACAUAUUCAGGCGGCGUUGAAUGCCGCCGAACACCUGGAUCUGAUUUAGCGAUCAGAUCUGAAGGUCUUCCCGGAGCUGCAUUCACCAAUGACGCUGGCGACGGCGCCACUGAGUGGACCCCCUCCGAGGAAGCUUCCUGCUCUUGCUCGUCCAGUACGGGACUGUUGUUGUUUCGUCCGCCGCCGCGACCGCUGUGUCGACCACCACCGCGCCGGCGAUGAUCGCGUCGACCCACGCCGCAUGAACGAGUCUCCAUGGCUCGCAAUUCCUCCUUCUGUCACCGGAAGAGCUAAGUCAGAGCCACAGACGGCGCCAAUGUUCUGUACUAGGGCAAGCUUACGUAAGAGAAAGACAAAAAGUAAACCCUAGCAGAGCACUAAAAUAGCAAAACUACCAUAAAAGGAAUAUUCUCAUUAAUGCUGAAAAAGUUGGUUUUGUACAAGUGGAUGACCUCCCCUUUUAUAGAGGGGGUGGUCAUGAUAUGGACCUUUCCUAUAUUUGGGCCUGACAACCAGGGCCCAAAUUCCUAUACAUAUAAGACAAAUCAAGGAGAAUCUUCCAGCUGGCUCGUGGGUCCCCCUAAGGGAAGGCAAAGAUAUUAGCUGUGUCGAUGAUUCCCGCCGUGGUUGUCUUCACUCUUGGGCGGGCAUGAGCAUUGUGUAUGCCCCGCCCAGUCCACAGCCGUGGUUGUCUUCACUCUUGGGCGGGCAUGAGCAUUGUGUAUGCCCCGCCCAGUCCACAACCAAAAAGAGAGAAACCAAUUAAUAAUCGCCAAAGGCAAAAACUAACGUAGAAGAAUUGAAAUAUUUAAAGAGAAACGGAGGAAGCAAAUUUUGAAAUUCCUACAUUAGCACAGCUUAGGUUGGUUGAAAUAACGUAGAAAAAUUACUUAACUAUAGUUAAUAGAAAAACAGUUCCCCAUUAGAUAUCGAACCCUCUAACUCCAAGAUUCAAAAAUGGACUUUCCGCUCUGACGCAGUAAUAAUUAAUAAUAUAAUUUAUAUGAUUGUAAAUAAAGUAUGUCAUUAAAAUACCAUGUCUUUGUAAUUAACAUUACAUUAUCUUAAUCAUAAUUAUAUUUCUCAGACUUUUUAAGCAUUCUAAGUAAAGAUAUAGUUUCACUAAUAUUAGAUUCUCCGGUACUCCCCUCACUAGGAGAAUCUAACGGGGAAUCAUGACAUUAUCUCAUGAAUGAAAAUAGGAGCAUAUUGAGAGUGUAAUGGUCUAGACUUAAGAGCUAUGAUUCGUUCACCUUUAUUUUAUGUUACACUUCACUUCCACGUUCAUUUUCUAUAUGAUAUAUAUCACGAAUCAUAUCUCAUGUUUUUUUUCUUUUUUCUUUCUAUUUUUAUUUUCUCAAUUCCAUUUCAAUUUUAAUGAAGUGUAAAUGAAACUUGGACUAAUAUAGGUGUACCGUUAGAGACUUUGGACUGGAUGAUUAGGUCCCUACCGGAAGGCCAGGCUGCCCUCUUGGCGCUGAUCGGGACAAAUGAAGUCUGGGCCUUACGUGCUAGAAAUCUGAAGUGAAGGCACACUCCACUACGAAGACAUCCAACCGUCAAUGAGAAAGCAAGUCCACCGCUGAUCACGCGCACAGUCAAGGGUCAAGACCUCUGCUGACCAACACAGGCUGACAUCAAGUCAGCCGACCAUGUGAUAAAGUGCUUCCCUGCUGGACGGGAUUGGUCCGCAAGUCAACCGACACUGUAAUGAUUACGCUCCAUUAACGGAUAUGAUUGGUACACACAGGUCAACCAUGUAAUAAAUGUUUCAGUUAGGGUUUGGAGGUCGACCUGUUAUAAAAGAGAGACCUCCGCCCCUCUAUGUAACUCAUAUUCUCUACAUUGAAAUAACACUCCAUACAUUUUUCUUAGUCUUUUAUGCUUCUGAUCCCUUUGGAAACCCUUAUCGGAACGGUGGGGGCCUCAGUAAAACUUUUCCCGAGUCCUCAAGGUACAUUGAACUUCUUCUCAACCGUGACGAGCAUGGUAGAGACUAGAUCUCACGUCAACAGCUCAAAUGGCCCGACUCCUCAAGGUACAUUGAACUUCUUCUCAACCGUGACGAGCAUGGUAGAGACCAUAUCUCAUGUCAACGGCUCAAAUUGCCCGACUCCACAAACGAAGGAGACCAUGAACGCGUUGAUUUCCCAGAUGCAGCAGUAGCACUAGGCGAUGCAAGCCCAGAUGGCUGGAAUGGAAGAGCUCCGACAACAGAACCAGAACAUGUAGGCAUGACUUGCAGGGGUGGACGAGCUUCGUCAACAAAACCAAACCCUACAAGCUCAGGUAUGGGAUCCCACAAGGAAUCACAGGAGGGAUGUGGAUCUUACCCAGUUGGCACCAGAGCUUCAGUCCUUCUCGGAUGCCAUAACCGUCGUCGAGAUUCCGGAAAGCUUAAGGACCUUGGUUCUUGACUCCUACAAUGGUACAACAGACCUUAAGGAGCACCUCGUUGUUUUCAAUACAUAGAUAUUGAUAAACGGUGCAACCCUGACAACUGAAGUGCAAGCUAUUUCCGGGAACCCUAAAGAAGAGGGCCCUGACAUGGUUCUCCAGCCUUCCACCCAGAUCUGUAGUCACGUUCAGUGACUUUUCCUAACGUUUCCUAUCACAGUUCUCUGCCAAGCAGGCCGACCAGAUCACCUCAGCCAGCCUUUUCAACAUCCGUCAAAAGUCAGGUGAAACGUUGAAAAAUUACUUGUUUAGGUUCACUAACGUCUUCAUGCAGGCUAGAAACAAAGAUCUAGCAGUAUGUACCGAGGCAUUUGAAAAUGGUUUGUCAGCGGGUCCUUUCAACGAGGACCUGUCCAUUUAUCAUGCGCAGUCGUUGGAUGAAAUUCGUAGAAGGGCAGCACCGUUUAUCAUACAAGAAGAGAGCAACCGCUUGAAAGUAGAUCCGGAUAAGGAGGAAAGACCGCAUCAUCAGACCAACCAACCCAAACGGACAUAUCCCCUUACCAAUCGAGGGAACCUUCGACAAGGCAAUCAGGGUCAAGACCAAACUAGUCCGGGCCGACACAACACCAAAAGCGUGAGGAGCAAUGUCUGGACAAGACAGAAGGACUAAGAGUUCACUCCCUUGAAAGUUCCUCGCGGGCAAACCCGGAAGGAGGUAACUCGUUCGCAGCCGAAUUCGUUCAAAUUUCCCUUUCGUACUAAUUCCUAGAGAAAUGCAGACAAGCCCUACCCGUGGUGCGAGUUUCAUUGGAGCUCCAGUCAUGACUCUGACAACCAUGCUAACCUGCGCAGUUAGGUUGUGCUAUAUCCCGCUCUUGGAAUGCCAACAACCUGAAGUUCUACUACAUCUAGUGCUCUAUGCUUUAAAACGCCCUAAGUUUUUGUUGUUUCAGUUUUUCUAUAUUUGACGUUUGUUUCUUGUUGAAUAAAAGUAUAGAGUAAUCUUUUCUCUUCCGUAGGGGAAUAGUUUUUCAUGAGGCCCAAAAACCGUAAAUAUGUGUGUGUUCUACUUCUCUAAAAGCACACCACUUGGUUACUCGACCAAGUGCGUCGUUUCUCCGCCAACUCCAUGUUUGGCGUCGAGGUCACACCACUUGGUUACUCGACCAAGUGCGUCGUUUCUCCACCAACUCCAUGUUUGGUGUCGAGGUUCUACCGCUUGGUUACUCGACCAAAUGUGUCGCUUCUCCGCCAACUCGAUGUUUGGCGUCGAGGUCACACCACUUGGUUACUCGACCAAGUGCGUCGCUUCUCCGCCAACUCCAUGUUUGGCGUCGAGGUCACAUCACUUGGUUACUCGAUCAAGUGUGUCACUUCUCUGCCGAAAUCACAUCACCCGACUACUCAACUAAGCAUGUCGCGCACACUAGGUUGGGUAACCAAGCCCACCACGCUGUUGCCAACUCGAAGGCACAAGCUGAGAUCUCAACACUUGCUUAAUUAAAAGCUCCAAAUAAAUAAAUGAAGACAAAUUAUAAGCAUGAAAACGGUGAGGAUGGGGAAACGAGGAACAUACGAAGUUAGUUUCAUUACAAACAGACACCCAACAAAGCAUCCAAUCAAAAUAGGGUGUCCAGCCAACACAAGCAGUCAAAUAAGUGAUGGCUCCCAACAGAGCAAAAGGAAAGGGAAAAAGAGGAAAAAGAGGAGAGAGAAUACCAACUAAGGAAGGAAGAGAUGAAGCACAUGAAUUAGGAGAGACAAGGUCGACCGUGGAAAGAGGAAAUCGACCGGUGAAGCCUGACUGUGAAAUGAAGGUAGCCGACCGUUGAAGCACAUGAACCAGGAGAGAGAAGACUGGCCGUGAAAGGAAGGUAGCUGACCGUUGAAGCAUAUGCACUAGGAGAGAGAUGGCUGACCAUGUAGGGAGGAAGCUGACCGUUGAAGCAGAAACCAGAGAUGAACACAAAAAGUCCAAAUUGCAAGAGGACGCGAUGGAAGAUAUUACGGGAUGGCUGACUGUGGCACACACAAGCUCUCUCAAGGCUUUGCGCCUAAAGCAUUUAGCCACAAGCCUUGGGGGGCUGUGUACCGUUAGAGACUUUGGACUGGAUAGUUAGGUCCCUAUCGGAAGGCCAGGCUAACCUCUUGGCGCUGAUCGAGACAGAUGAAGUCUAGGCCUUACGUGCUAGAAGACUGAAGUGAAGGCCCACUCCACUACGAAGACAUACAACCAUCAAUGAGAAAGCAAGUCAACCGCUGAUCACGCGCACAGUCAAGGGUCAAGACCUCUGCUGACCAACACAGCCUGGCAUCAAGUCAGCCGACCAUGUGAUAAAGUGCUUCUCUGAUGGACGGGAUUGUUCCGCAAGUCAAUCGACACUGUAAUGAUUACGCUCCAUUAACGGACAUGAUUGGUACACAGGUCAACCAUGUAAUAAAUGUGUCAGUUAGGGUUUGGAGGUCAACCUGUUAUAAAAGGGAGACCUCCGCCCCUCUAUGUAACUCAUAUUCUCUACAUUGAAAUAACACUCCAUACAUUUUUCUUAGUCUUUUAUGUUUCUGAUCCCUUUGGAAACCCUUAUCGGAACAUUGGCGCCCACCGUGGGGCCUCGGUAAAACUUUUCCCGAGUCCUCAAGGUACAUUGAACUUCUUCUCAACCGUGACGAGCAUGGUAGAGACUAGAUCUCACGUCAACAGCUCAAAUGGCCCGACUCCUCAAGGUACAUUGAACUUCUUCUCAACCGUGACGAGCAUGGUAGAGACCAUAUCUCACGUCAACGGCUUAAAUGGACCGACUCCACAAACGAAGGAGACCAUGAACGCGUUGAAGAUGGUUGGAGAUGGCUUAUUAAAGUGUGGUGUUAGAAAGCCACAUCUCAUGAACAAAACUUCGUUCCAUGUCUCACAUGUCCAACAAACAUUUAACUCUUAGACUAUAGGCUCCUCAAAGUUCAGAUUUGAACUCAAAGCACCCUUCUACGUUCAUUUUCAAUCAUAUAUGAUAUCAUAUUUUUUCUCUUUUUUUUUUCUCAAUUCCAUUUUAAUUUUAAUGAUGUAUGAAUGAAAUCUGGACUAAUAUAGGCAACACAGUGUAGAGUUAGAUUAGGUUGAGACUAUGUUAGCCAUCAGGGGACAACCAAGUUGCUACUGGGUGAGGCAAUGUUCGCUACUUAGUGAUAUUAGGCUCAAGUUAUAAUACUUGGUCCUUAUAUUUAAUGGGGCUACCUAUAAAUUGUUGUAGGCCUUGGGGCAGCAUGUGCCCUUAAGAGGAGAGGAGAGGUUAGGAUGCUCUCAACUGAUCACCAGACAUGAUCUUAAAGUGUGGUGUUAGAAAGCCACAUCUCAUGCGACGGUUGGAGAUGGCUUCUCUACAUAAGAAUAUAUAUACAGCAAAUAGAACGAAGGAAAACAAUCAAAAGUUCAAAACCCCAAUUUGAAACCAACUAUAAAAUUGUCAAUCAGAGCUGUGUAUUUCAUAUAUAUACACUUAUUAAGCUAAUAACUGCACAAGUUUUCCAUCAGAAACAGAUAACAGAUUACAUGCAUACAAAUGUUUCAUAACCUCAUUCAGUUGCUGGCUACUCUACUUUGGGUGAUGGUACCACAAAAUCAAGGACCAAUACACAAUCCAGAUGCUCCUUAAUCUUAUCAUUCUCAUGAUAUUUCCCUACUUCCCCAUCAGAAUCUGCUACCUCCAAUUCAGCUAAACUAGGAAAAACAGCAAGUGAAGCAAACGAGAACCCUUUGGCUCUACCAGGAGAAAAGUUUUCGCCGCUAGUGAACUGAAUAGUACUCUGUUUCAAUUUCAACUCACCUUGAAUUCCCUUUAUAACCCGCAUGACAUCAUCUCUGACCUGAUCUCCCAGACCCUCCUUCAGCUUGAAGAAGGUGACUCUCACUGCGGAGCCCGGCGGCAGAACCAAAGCACCACCCUCAACGGCGACCCAGUCAAGCGCCAUGGUGUCGGCGACGUUGGGCGAGUUGGCCUUGACGACUGCCACGUGGGUGGGGUGCACCGCGUAGGUGUUGAGGUCUUCCUUGGAGUUGGAUCGGAUGUGGAGGAUGUGGGUGAAAUCGAAGGAGGAGGUGGGGGAGGAUCGAAUCCGAGUGAUUGGCCCCAUUGAAAGGUGAAGGGAUUCUUCCAGGGAGACCAAGGAAUUGACUCGCUCCACCAUGGAAUCGACCUCCGAUGGUGCAGCGUCGUGUUUCACCCUGAAAACCACCACAUGCUCGAUUAUUGACAUCCUUGGACUUGGACUCUGUUUACCAGAAAACGAAACACACAUUCAUUCAUUCAUUCGUAUGGAUUUAUGUAUGUGACAAAGAUAUUCAAUUUUUAAUUGAUUUGUUUCUUUUUUAAAUCAUUUUUUAAUUGAUCUGAGACAUGCAUAUUUUUUUUUUCAUUAUUAAUAAUCAGUUUUAUAAUUUUUUAUUCUAUCUUUUUAAAUGUGAUUGUGAUCUCAUUAUAAAAGAAUUAGUUUCAUAUUUAUAAUGCUAAGUGUGCUUCAACAAAAAAAAAAGCUAAGUGGUCAAAAUUAGAAUUCUUGAAUGGGUUCAAGAAUUUGAUUUGUGAAACUAACCAUUGGACGCUAUGGAUGCUCUCAGCAGUGAGUUUGUUCUCCCGAGCAUUGUUGAGAGUAGGGAGUUGCUGGCCAAGGAUUAUUAGGUGUUUUUGAGGAGGAUCCCCCUAAGUGUAACUUCCUAGCUGAUUGUAUUGCUUAUAGCCAAUUCUGAUAGUCAGGAUGUGCAGAUUCUUGUUGUGUCAUUCUUCGAGUUGGAGACUCUUAUGUUAAGAAACUUCUUAAGCCAUAAGACCCGACGACGUUCUGGUUGGCCCACCAGAGUUUGCUCUUAGGCAGACACCAUAAGGGCGGCCAACACGACCUAAUUUUGGAACAGACCAACUUGGCUUAAGUGGCAAAGUGUCUGAGCGGCCUUACACAGGGCCAAAAACUACUUUAGCACGACGUCAUCAAGCCAAUUGUGCGUCCGAAAGCUCCACUCAAAGGACUUUCCACGCACUUGUAGAGACUUCGAACAUGCACAUUGAGUCUAUAAAUACAUGUUUUUUCGUUCAUUUAUGUAAUAUGUUAUUCAUUCUUAACAUUUUUUUAGUUCUUCUAAGACUCACGGAUUCUAUCUUUGCUCAUUCAAUUAUUUGGGUGUCGGAGUGUCUUCUGUAGGUACUCCCCUACGCUCGAGGUCAACAUCAUUGCAUUCUUAGGUCAGCAACAACGAAGCUCUACCACCAAGCAUUGCAAGAGCAACAAUCUAGAAUCCAGGAAGAAUAAGAAUAAAUUGAAUUAGCUUUAAGCUAAAAGCUACCUCAAGUUAAAUAGCUUAUUAAAAAAAAAAACUAUAAAAUACUAUAAAAUAAGCUUAUUUAACAAACACUUUGCGGUAAAAAAAAUCUUUAAAUUAGCUUUUUAAGCUAGCCAAAAUAGACUUUAAGCGAGCUGAAAUUUCUUGCUUAAAAAAUUUAUUAAUAUAAUCCAACAAUAUAUAUAUAUAUAUAUAUAUAUAUAUAUAUAAAUGUGUUUGAUUUUAGUCCAUUUGAGAAAAAAUGGCGUUUAGUGACGGUCAAAAACCGUCAAUUAUUGUAAAGAUGGUUGUCACUAAACGUCAUUUUUCUUCAGAUGGACUAAAAUCAAAUUCGCUUACAAACUCAGGAAAUAAUUUGAUCAUUAACCCUAUAUGUAAUGUGUGAAGAAUUUUUAAAAUUUGCUAUAAUUAGCUGCAAGAAAAUUCUAAAGCUUACUUAUAUACUUCUUAAUUUAUGCUAUUGCUAUAUUUGCACCUAAUUUCUAAUAUUCCAUAGCUAAACAUGUUUGCUAGAAAUCAAACUAUAUUGGUAAUAUAGGACAAAUGAGACAAAUAGGAAUAGUAUUUGGUUUGCCAAUUAGGCAUCUGAUACUUGAUUGGACCUACUUCUAUUUGAACUUUGCACAAUUAAAUUCUCAGAGUGCAAUGUACCACCACACCCCUAGCUAAUAUGUAUUUUAAAAUUAUCAAAUAUAUAGGAAUGUUGAUUUUACAUUUAAAUUGUAACCAGUUAAGAACCCGAAUCCUCACAGUAUAUCUCUUAUUUUUUUAUUUUUUUUUUCUAAUGUGGAGGGCUUAAAGCCCAAACUCACAGUAUAUCUCUUACUUUAUAAAGACAACGGUGUAGCGUAUGUAACACUCUAAUCUUUUUUAAGGUCAAAAGAAAAUCUCAGAACUUAGUUUAAUUUGAUUGACACUCUAACUGAAAACGACAACCCAAUUCCCAAAGAAACAAGCCAAUGCAAAGAUUUCUCCACAUAUCAACAAAUCAUUAAGGAAAACACUAAUUAAAUAGAAAGAAACUAAAAAGGAGAAAGGGGAUUAAAGAAGGAAAAACAAUAUGUCAAAUGCAAAUGAUUGCCCAUUGCAUAAUUCCCUUCAAAAUUGGCACGAUCAUUACUUAGACAAUCACGGUAUCAAUAUCAUCUUCAAUGUUAACUGAAACCUUUUUUUUUUUAUAAACAAAAGAAUUGCAUUUAAAUUUAGCACAAGGGGUGCUAACCCAAAUACAAGAGAUGAGAAGAAACUGAAAAACAGAAAACAAGGAAAAGAGAACGCCCAACAACCUACAACAGAAACAAACAAUCAGCCCUAGAUUCGGCAGAUUACUAAAUUCAGUUUCAGGUUCCAUCAUGUCAGUGGCCAUAAUAUGUCAAAUGCAAUAUUCAAAUCUUGUAACCACUGCUUUAUCUGCUUUAAUUUAUGGAAACUACAACAGUGUUCGCGACGAUAUAAAUGAUACAUAAAUGAGAACAACGGCCAGUUACUAGAUUUUUUUCUUAUUAACCAAUGUAUCUCAGUUUAAAAAAAACAUAUCUAUCUCACAAUAGUUGUGAGACUAACCUAUCUCUCACUCCACUGUCGGUGCACUAAAUAGUAAGAUGCUGAUCAAUGAGUUUUUUUCCAUUUGCAAUAGUUAGAGAUUGAACCUCCAACCACAUACAUAAUAGACGAAGUGUUAAAUCACUACGUCAACCCACUUGAUGGACCAAUUACAAGAUAAAUAUAAUUAAAUAUUGAACCAGAGUAAUCAAUACUCCCUCCGGUCCUAUUUGUAUGCAUGAAAGAGAAGAAAAAUCCUAGUCCUUUUUAUAAGAACCAAAUGAAAGUUUGAGCUAUAUUCAUUAUUUUUUUUUCCAAUGAUACCCUUAUUAAUUCUAACUUGUAAAAUGUGUCUCAUUAAUUAUUCUCUCUCUUUCCCACUUUCCAACACUAAUAACAAAGGGUAAUUUUGGAAGUUUAUUUUGAUUCAAGAUAAAUUUAAUGCAUUUUAUCUGGUUUAACUACUUUUCUUAAACUAUGUGAAUUUUUUAUUGUUGCUUAUAAAUAGAACCGGAGGGAGUACAAUAUAAGCUCGCUUACUCUAAUCAACCUAAACAUUUAAUAACAAGUAGAACAUUCAUCAACACAACUUCAAGCCUCUAACUUUUCACUAUAACUUCAACAUUUAUGUUGGUGCAUUUUAUAAGAGUUUAUUUUAUAUCAUAAGCGCUUAUGCAACUUAUGUAAAUAUAGCUCAUGACAUGCCUAUAAACAAUUAUGAGCUUAUUUUUCAUAAGAUGUUCAAAAUAACUUAUGAAUAAGAGCUUAUGCUAAUUUUAAACUUAUUUUAAAAAAAUUCUCAAAAUAGCUUCUGCAAAACGCUUAUGUGAUAAGUGUUUAUAGCCAUAAAAACUUAAUUAAGUUGUUUUUCCAAAUGCACCACUGUCUGGAUGGAGAUAAUUCAAGAUCAUGGAUGUUUUCCACUAGUAAGCCCUUCCUUUGAUGGAGUUACUGAAUUGCAAGCCUGUUAUCUAAACACUACAGGUUGGCAUCGGUCGUAUCUUUAUGAUGGAUGAUGGCAUGGUGACAAUGAGGGAGGGAGGGAGGGAGAGAGAGAGAGAGAGAGAGAGAGAGAGAGAGAGAGAGAGAGAGAGAGAGAGAGAGAGAGAGAGAGAGAGAGAGAGAGAGAGAGAGAGAGAGAGAGAGAGAGAGAGAGAGAGAGAGAGGUGUGGUUAACAAACAUAGGUUUAAUUUGAAAAGAAGAAGGAAAAGAAACAAAAAGACUUACAUAAAAAAUCAUACUUAGAGACUUAGAGAACAGAUAACUCUCAUAAGAGAAAGGGGAAAUUUUGCUUAAAUCAUACCCCAUUUACCAUAGGGUUUUCCGCAUCGAAAACCCAAAAACUUCCCUUGUCAUUGCAUCAACAUUGAACACAUUCUUAUCAUUCAUGACCUCCAAAGUCAAUCCAUGGAUAUGAACCCAUAAUGGAUCUAAAUCAAAUCUAACCUCAAAAUCUGAAUAUGAGGAGCCUAGUAUUGAAGGCUCAUCAAGUGCCUCAUUAUGUUCCAAGGUGAUUCCUCCAUCACCUUAUCCACAAAACCCCCAAAAACAAUCCAUCUCUCUCACUCAGUUUUAUUAAGCGAAAAAUCAACAAUUGAAUUGGUCAAUAAUAAGCUCUAUUAAGCUUAUAAUUUGAUAUAUAGUAAUUUUUAUUUUUUAAAUAAUAGGACCGACACAAUUUUUUGAACAUCUGCACCUUCCAUCAUAAAUCAUAAUAUGUUUGAUUCUCUAAGUUGACGAGGGAAUUAUUAAUACAUAGUUUGCUGGCAAAAGUAGGGCCUUUUACAUCAUGAAAAUAUUGACAUCAUAAAAGAACCACGUGGCAAACAAGUAUUGGUAAAAGUGCUCCUUCUGUGGAUUUUGCCGAUACAAUGAUACACGCUGGCUUAAAAAAUAAACACUUUUUUCUCAAGAUAAAUUAGAGUUUCUUAUCUCAAGAAAAAUAUUAGGGCACUUUUAUCCAAUGGAAAAAACUCAUGCGAAUAUAAAAAAAGAUCAACCUUAUAUUCUAAUGUAUUAAUAGUGUAUUAAUAGUGGAAUAAGAGAUUAGUCCUAUAUUUAUCAGCCAUAAAAAUGUCUUAGUUAACACCGAAAAAGAAAUGAAUAUUGUUGUUCAUUUCCUAUUUUCAUUUAUAAAAAAACAUAAAACAAAAAUAAAACAUGUUUGAUUAAUAUUUAAACAUCUUUUCUUUAAAAUAUUUUACUAUAAAAUAUGAUCAAAAUAGAAAAAUGACUACAUAUAUAAGACUUUAUAGAGAAAAACAAUUUUUUCAAUAUUUAUUAAUCAUUUUAGCUCAUUAAAAUUACCAUUGACAGCUCAAAUUAGAUGAAAAUAUUAGACUGUGUAGUUUAAGUUAAAUCUCAACAAUUAGACAUUUAAUACUCCUUCAAAAUUUGUCAAAAAUGAGACUCCACUCAAUUCGUGUCUAAAAUAUACUCAUCAUCAUUCUCUUUCAGCUUUUGUGAUGAAAUAUUGAAAUCUAUCAUAAAAUUUGAAUAAUAGAAACAAAAUUAGUGGCAGAUUUUAUAAAGGAUAUUUUUUUGUCGCGUCACUAAUUCAAAUCUGCAUACUUUAGUGGCAAGUUAUAUUCACAUCUUAAAAUCCGACGAUAAUUUAAAAUAUUUGUGAAACUUUGUAGGUAUUAGUGACGAAUUUGGAGAUGAAAUAAAAAAAAUUCAUCGCCAAAAUAUAGAGAUUUAAAUCAAUGAUAAAUUUUAUAUUGAAAAUCAUCUCUUCAUAAAAUAUGUCACUAAUUUUAUUCAUGUUACUCAUCAUCCAAGGUUUUUAUUAUGACAGAUUUUGAUAUUCCGUUGCAAAAUUUAAAUGAGUUAAGAUGAGGUAUAUUUUAGAUAAGAAUGAAAUGAAGUGUUAUAUUUUAACUUCAGAGAGUGAAUGUAUUUUAAUCUUAGAAAAAUAUUAUGAAUUACAAAAACCUUUUACAUAUAUAUAGAUAGUAUUAUAUGCUAUUGACUAAAAUUAUAGCCUUUGAAUAUCAUCUAUCAAUAUCAAUUUACAAAACAAUUUAAUAAUUAUGCAGAUAAUAUAGAUACAUUUUAUAUAAAUAUUUAAUUAGAUUUUAUUAUCUUACUAUAUUAUUAUAAAAUUAAAAAUCACAAAAAAGUAAAUUUGAUAACAAUAUAUACUAAAAUGGUGGAUUUUGCUAAAGUAUAAUACAUCUAAUAAAAAAGGGAAAAAAAAAACAGGUGGAUAUUAAUCAUAGAAUAGUGCUAAAUAUUAAGACACAACUACUAAUAGAUCUGAAGCUUUCUCUUUCUCUUCUGAUCUGGGUUGAAAAGCUUGAAGCUUUCACCUUUUAUUCCUCAUCUUUAAGCUUCAAUGUUGAACAAGUGUCAGAUCCGAAAAAAAAGACAUAGAAUUGGUGAUGGUUGAGGUGGUAGUGCAGUGUGGGUUAGGGUUGGUUGUGGUGGUGCGUUGUUGGUUCAACGGUGAUGGUGUGGUCUCAGUUUUUGGGUUCCAAAAUAUGAAAAAUGUGAUUUAGAAGAUGAAUAAUGAAGAUGAAUUUUGGGUUAAGAUGAAAGAAGAAGAUUAAUGAUAUGACAGAUUAUGACUUUUUUUUAACUCCUUUUAAAUUAAAAAAAAAGGUGACCUGCUAAUAAACUUGGGAUAACAAGUCAACCUAGCUUUGUGUAACUUUGCACAAGUAUUUUUUUGUGUAUAGUAAAUGAAUCCCUUUUUAAUUGCAUAAAUUUAUAAAUGUUUGUUAGAAAUAUAUGUUUAAUGAAUUAAACCGUAAAAAAGAAUUUAGUUUGUUUAUGAAUUUAUAUAUUAAUCUUUUCUUAAAAAUAAUAGAUGUUAAUGUUAAUUUGGAAAGAUCUUUAGGAUGAUAAUUUUACGUAUGAUAUUUCAAUUUAAUAUCAUAAUAAUAAAAGAAAUAAAGUUAAGGGGUUAGAUUGAUAAACUUGCUUGUUAUUAUUUUCAUAAUUAUCAAUAUAUAAAAUUGGUGUGACCUGCAUUUAUUCAUAUGAGGAGCCCGUUUUGUCGUUUGUUGAUCACGUUAAGUUCCAUAGAUGACGAACACGGGCUUGAUUUGCUUUUGUGAACAUCUUUUAAAAAUAUAUAUACAUUUCUUUUGUUGAUUUAUAGUUUUUUUUUUUGUACAUCGGAAAGAUAAAUUACACUUGCGAGAGAUUGAUCCCGGAACCUUUUUAGCACUUACCACUUAAGCUAACAUAAUAUGAUGAAAAAAUAAAAUAAAAUAAAAUAAAUUAAAAAGAAGUUGUUUUCUUAAUUUGAUUUUCUAGGAUAAAGUUUAUUUUUGAAAAUGAUAUAUAUAUAUAUAUAUAAUGUUGAGAAACAACCCCUCUCAACAUGGGUAAAGUAACCAAGUCAAAAAAAAGCAGACCAAAACUCCAGCUACUACAACAAAAUCCUCCACCACUAAAAAACCCACAAGCAUGCAACCAUGCUUUAACAUCCAAAUCAACAACUCCUAAUGACAACGUCUACACCUCUAGGAGAGUUCCCAUUUGAAAUCGUAAACAGCGACAGGUUCAACCGGAUGAGAUCCUAUCAAGCCACACGACACCUGCAAAAUAGAUCUAACCCAGCUAUGCAUACCAAAGAACCCAAGAUUAUAGGUUACUUGACUAUUUCUAAAAGAAGGUAGAGCUUAUUGUAUAGGAUUACUUUUUGGCAAAGAAAAUAAUUAUAUGACUUCAAAUUCGAAUUUUUAAUAAUAACAUUUGUUAUUUUUUUAAAGGUAACAUUUGUUGUUAAAAGUGUUAAAAACAUUAUAAUUUUUAUGUUUUUCGUAAGUUUUUUCAAUAUCUUUUUUUGAUUAAUUUUUAUAAAUUUUAUUUAAAAUAUAGUAUAUAAGAGUUUUUUUUUUGAAAUGAAUAGUAUAUAAGAGUUUAAAUAUGUCUUUAAUCGUAAGACCUUCCAUAUUUCUUUCUAAUGGACAUGUUUUUUAGAAAUAAAUUUUAUUAGGGUAAAGUAAGACUUCUUUAAUCAGAAAAUAAAUCGAAGGACCCUCCUCAACCCAUGCAUCAUGCAUGAACAUAAUUACAUAAAGCUAACUUUGAUAUACAAUUUGCCACCAUAUUAGCGAACAACUUCACAUGAACCAAACUGCAGGAGGCAAAAACUCAACAAAGGUCCAAAAAAUCCUCCACAAUCAUCCGCGAGUAGGAGCGUGAUGCCACUGGUGACUUCCGCCCAUCCUUCAACAAAAGACUACAUGUUUAAAAAACCAGAGAUGAAAACCCCGAUGGAUAGCAAAUAUGAAUAUUCCAUUUCAAGAACAGGCUCCCUGCAGCUAGCAUAGGAUCCAACGUAAGUCAUAUCACGCUAAAGCCAUGAUCUAACUCUAAUAAUCGAUUAUAAUUAGGCAGAAACCAGCAAGAUAAAUGAUAUAUUUUGUCUAAUAUUAACACUUGAACCUUUUUAUAAUAAUUGUUGAAGAAUUGAAUUAAGUAAUCUCAUAUAUUUUGUCAUUUAUAAAUAGUAUAUUUAAAUCAUUUCAUAUAGUUUUUAAAGUGAAUGAUUAAGAUGUUAGUAUGAGACAUAGAUCACAUCUAUAAAUUAAAUUAAAUCCUAAAGUAUAAUAUUAUAAUCUUGAAAUCGUUCAUGGUAUUGGAAUUGAAAAAAAUUGUAUAUGGAGAAAUAGUAGACCCUUGAGACAAAUGUUUAAAAGAUUAGUUUAGAAGAUAAAACACUAUCUCAUGGGUAAGAGAAGAAAAUAAAUAUGUGUUGAGUGUUGUCAUUCGCUAAAAGGCGAAUAAGCAGAAGUGGAGAAAAAAUAUGUGUCUAGGAGAAAAUUAAGGAUGUGAAAGUCUCUAUCUCAUCGACUUUUAAAAUAGGUUAUCAAGUCAAAUCUAGUAAUUACGAUCAUAUUGAUAAUGAUUUAUUUAGUCUGUUAAUUUAAAUUUUGAAUUUUAGAGAAUCUUUGGUUUUAAUUAAAAUAUUUUCUAAUUUACUAAUAAUACUUGUGACGUUCAGAAAAAAUAAAUGAAUACUUGUGUUUUAAACUUGAAUAUUUUUUUUAUCAAAACAAAUUUGAAUCUUUUUCAAAUUCGAAUUACAUUAAGUUAUAAUCUUCCUUUUAUAGCUUUCAUAUUUAUUAAUUAUUAUAUUUUAAGCAUAAGUAAAAAUAAAAUAUAAUUAUGUUUUAAAUAUAAAUAUUCAUUAAUUAAGGGCAUUCAUGUAAAAAAUUAAGUUAACAAACAAAUUAUAAUUUACAGUCUAACUAUAAAAAAUAUGAUUUUUUUUAUGACUCAUGAACCGAGACUCGUUUAAGUAGAGAGUUAUAAACUUAUCUAUUUUAUUAUCAAGAUGAACAUUCAUAAUAUAAUAAGUCAUCCAUGUUUUAUAGAGGUGUCUAACCCUAGAUACAUGUAUUUAGAAUUGCUCAUACAAACAUAAUCCGCCCAUAAAGUGGGUGGGUCACCUAAGCCUGUAAAAACAUAUAUCGCUAUUAUGAGAUAAAUAAUACAUGAAUCGCAAACAUGACGUAAGAAAAACAUAAAUAGUGUGAGACCACCCAUAUAUGGAAUAUGGUGAUUGAGUCAUGAUUAAUGGUUCGCCAAAUGUGAGAUGGCUCACGUGAUAAGGAUUUGUUCGCCAAGUAACCGGGGUCACACGCCAGGUAGUAAGACCGCUCGCCUGGUAGUGCUAGAGUCACCCAAUUAACAAAAAAAAAAUGUAAAUAUGAAUUUCAUUGUUGAUAUAAAUUAAAGUAAAAUCUAGGAAGUAUGAAUUAGGAAAGAGAUAAUUCAGUUAUAGUUAUUUCGUGAAAAUAUUGAAAAACAUGUUGCAUGUACUUUCCAUGUGCGAAUGAACAUCUAAAACAACACAAACCAACAAAAGAUCAAAAUUUUACAAAGAGAAAACAAAAAUACUCAUAAUAGUGAAAUAAGAAGAUGAAGAUUUCGGAUGUGAAAUCCGAAAGUAAAAUAUAAAAAGAACACAUAACCUUUUUCCUGCAAAGAAACUGACCUCUCCAUCCAUCUCACAAAUGCAUUCUUUCCAACCUUGCCUCUCAAUGUAUCAGACCUUUCAUUGAAAGUGUCAAAACAUCCCUCAAGCUCUCCUACCAUCAAUUUUUAAAAUAAGUUGAGAAAACAUUCGUCUGAAUAAAAAAAAAAAGAGUUAAGAAGGGAUUAGAACAAUUAAUAAACUUACUCAUGCAAUAUAUAGCACCAGACAAAGAUGAAGUUGGAUGAGCCUUUCAAACCGACAACAUAAAGGAGGUUGAAGAAACAAACUGUGAGAGAUUAACAUAUUUGUAAAGAUAAAAAAAAAGAGGAAAUAUUUUAUUUUUGGCACGGAUAUGUUUUUACAAAUAAAAUAUAAAUAAAACAUUCACAAAUAUUGCACUUUUUUAUAUAUGAUCGACAUAUUCAAAGUUAAGGAAAAAUAAAAAAUUUACGGAUGGAUGAGAUUGAUAUAUAUUUUUUUAAUGCAGAUUUAAUAUUGAAUAUGUAUUUAAGGUUAAUAGAAAACAAAAUCUUGCAGAUUUAAUAUUGAAUAUGUAUUCAAAGUUAAGAAAAAAAACAAAAUAUUGAAUAACAAAAUUUGUAUAUUUUUUAUUGGGAUGAUAUGGGGGUGACACGUGGCAAAACCUUCUUUUAGUAUAUUAUAUAGAAAGAAUAGAUGAGUUGUUUUGAUUUUUUUUUUUUGGCACCGUCAGGUUAUGUCAACAAUAAGCUAUUUAUAUAGCUUAUUUUACAUUGUCUUCAAUGCAUAAAACUAUACCAUUAUACAAUAAGUCCAAAAUGACAUGCAUGUAAGUGGUGUUGUGGUGAUCUAAGUGAGAACCCAAAUUAGGACUUAGGACUGUAAACAAUAAUGUCAUAAAAACUUAAACAAACAGCGUAGAUAUAGGCGUAAUAAGUCAAUUAUAGCUGAUUGAAAGGUAGAGGGCUUGUUAGUUUGGCCAAAAGGCAUGACCAGAAACUUAUAGUGCCCAUCCACGGUUCUGAAUGCAGUUUUGUGGGUGUUCUCUAGUGCAACCCUGAUUUGGUGAAAGUCAGAACGCAGGUCCAUCUUGGAAAUGAUUGUGGCACCUCCCAACUCAUCUAAUCUAAGAACUCAUCAAUUGUAGGAAUAGGAAAGCGAUAUUUAACAGUUAAAAUUGCGAUAAUCAACAUAAAAGUGCCAAGAUCCAUCCUUCUUUCGAAUUAACAACAUUGGGAUGAAUAUGGGAUGGUGCUGCGAACUACAAUUACCUACCUUAACAUCUCAGAGAGAAUGGUAGACAAGGCCUGGCCUCUUUGUGAGAGUAGGGGUAUCUACGAGCAAAUGCAGACUCAGACUAUUCUUGUUUCUUCUCUCGGUACUUAGCCUCCGAGUCACAUGCCAGCAAUCCCAACCAUUGUGCCAACCAUUCACAUUUAAAUUGUUUGACUUUUUUUCAUUCGUGUUAAGAAUUUCUCCUACAAGAAUGUCUUUUCUCCUUGCUUUACUCUUUCUCUUGUAUUUUAUGAUGCUUUAGCUUCUGUUGCUGUUUCAUAGAUGGUAUGUCAAACAACUGUAUGUACCCAAGAAUAUUGUGCUAGAAAUAGCAGCAGGGAUGUAUAGUGAAAGACAUGAAUCUUGGUAACACCUCAAUGGUUUCUCUUGUCUCACAAGGCUGAUCAGAGAUAUGAUGGCUUGCGAGUUGCGAUAACGGUAACUGAUUAAUUGAUCUCUGCUAAAUAAAUUCUUAAACCUCUUUGCAAACAGUGAAAACUGUCACCUUUCUUUUCCUUUCUAAAUAUUCAUGCCAAAGAGCAUUAAACUGGUUUUCUCUUAAAAGACUAUCUGUUUUCAACAAUUUGACCGAUGCUUUAUUGUGUACAACAUUAAGUUGCAUCGCACACUGUUGUUUUGAUCACAAGCAGAUAUAAAUAGCUUAUGAUUGAAAGAUUUCUGGGCUUCGGGCCAGGGGGAUGUGAUGAAAAUGAGGAUAAGGUAGAGGUAGUAUUAACUUCCAAAUGCUUUAAGUUUCUUUUGAGGGUGUCUUUCUGAUCUAACUUAAAAACGUAUAUAUUUCAGAUAAUGUACGAUAUUCAGUAUUAUUGAUUUUUCUAUUAUUAUUUUCUUUUUGGUUGUGAAUGAAUUUCAAAUUUGGUUUUCCAGUUCUAUUCAUGCCUUGUAUUUCCUUGCUGUUUCAUUUCUUUUUGUUCAGGUAAAGUGCUUGUUCAUGCACUUGAUGAAAAAACUAGAGCUUACUACAAUAUGGGAGGGUCUUUGGACCCCAGGGACAUUGCAAAAUGAACCUAUAGAGGUAAACAUGAGACUAACUUUAAGUCAUGUUGUUCCAUGAAAUUCAGAACUUUUCCUCAUAUAUAUGUUUAAUAUUGUAUUCAAGAUAUUUGAAGUUUUCUGAAUUUGUCUGUUUUUUUUUAUUUAGCUCUAUCAUCAUAGUACUUUCCUAUCUUCAAUCAUAAGUGAAAACAGGACAGCAUUCUUGCAUUUUGAAGUCCUCUUUGUAUAAUCUUCUGAAAAAAAUGAUAUUUUGAAUAUCUUAAUUAUCUUGCUACUCUAUUCACCAGAACCUUGACAUUUACUUUUUCUAUGUUGUACCAGGUUUUGCAACACCUCUAUAACAUGCCAAUGAUAUCAUGCUUUUAGGCCAUCCAGAUACCACCAGGUGCUGCGGUUUUGUUUCAAUACUUGUUUCUGACAGGUGCUGUGAUUAAUAAUGUAAUUUGAUUAAUUUUUCUUUCUUUUCUGAGACUGUCAAGUGUACAGUAAUCCUGUUUUUCCCCAUGUUUAAUCCUUCAAUUUGGGAAAUUUUUCCAUGUAAAAUGUGGACCAUUUUUGUCUAAAACCAGUGGAAGAUUUAAUUUGUCUAAAUGUGAGUCUCUUUUUUUUUUUCAGUGGUAAUGUUUCUUUCAUUCUUUGAGGUUCUUUUUUAUUUUCAUGUUUAUUAAUAGAUAGAGAAAGGGAAAGAUAGAUCUGUUGAUUCAAUUAUGAAAUGUAAAAUAAUUGGUGAAUCAAAAUAUAUUUUGUUAAUGAUUUGCCUCUUGAAGACAGGGGCAAAUGAUUUUUAAUAUGUUUAUUUUUUUUUGUGUAAAAUAGCUCUGAUAAACGUUAAAAGGUGCAAUGACUAGCUAGGAAAAAAUAAUAUUAUUUUACGGGGGCUAAUAUGGCUGCUAAAUCACCUGGGGGGGUUUUUUCCGGCGAUUAAGAAAACAUGUUAGGAAAUCGACUAAUGGAGACAGAUUCAGUGUGGGUUGGAAGGUGUUUUUCACUGAAAGUUCACAGAAAUCACUGAUAAAUACCCUUUGUUGGUGUAGUGGCUUCACUUUUGUAUAUAGUAGUGCAUUGGAAAGUAAACAAGUUACUAAUGUCAGAUCUGGUCCUCCAUGAGAGCACAAUAUUCCUAGAAACACAUGCUGAACCAUAACAAGUUAAUUUCAUGUAGACCAAUGAUAGAAGAACGUGGCAACUAGAUUAGGUAGGCUCACCAAACUUUCAAGAUAGAAUGGAAAGCGUGCUAGAGUACAUGGGACAAAACUUGCAUAUUUUUAUUAAGGUGAUAACUUUUCUCAACUUUCUCUUUCGCAAUAAAGAUGUCACGUUAUAGUUGGAUAAUAGUAAAAACAACACGUAUAGAACUAUGUCUUAGUUUUUAUCCUACCUGUUUUCACAUUUACUUUCACACAUCUCAAACGUAAAUGCUUUAUCACUUGAUUGAUCUCUUUUUCUAUAUAUAACAUUGCCAUUUGGGACAUUCCCUUUUCACCUGCAUCAAAAAGUCUUUGGUGUUUCAUCUGAAGAUCAUCCUCAUAAUUCAAUUUUCUUCCAAUGGAGUUGGGAAGCGUAAUUGACUUCCUUCAGGACAAGAAUGUUCUGGUCAUCGGUGCCACUGGCUUCCUUGCCAAACGUGCUUCUCUCUUUCUUUUUCUCUUUCUAAGCUAGCAAUUUUUAUGUGUGGAUAUAUGUAUUAGUGAUGUUGUGUUUUAUAUACGUUGCACCAGUCUUUGUGGAGAAGGUACUUAGAGUUCAACCAAAUGUGAAGAAACUUUAUCUUCUAUUGAGGGCCUCAGAUGCUGAAUCUGCCACUAAACGACUGCACAAUGAGGUAUGUUAUAACAUCUUUCACCAGCCAUGUACAAUCUGUUUGGGAGAGGCUGGUUCUUCACUCUCACCAAUUUAUGAUGCUCUUUUUUUUAAAGCCAAUGAUAAAAAUUUAUUAGACUGAAUAUUAACUUGAGAACAACGCCCUCAAGAAUAAUCAAGUGUCAAACGAAACUAGUUUACCAAAUAGACCUCAUCCCUACAAGAAAAAUGUUGAUUAGUGUCAGCCCAAAGUCAAUAUUAAGUAGGCAAAAUUUGAAGCAAAUGUUGAUUCAGCGCCUGCGUCGGAGCUGAAAUUAAAAGGCCUGAAGCUAACUCAUAAUGUCAGUCAUGUGGCCGAAGCUACAAUUCAAUUUCAGUUUUGCUAACUCUAAGCUGAAACAACCACCCUAUCAUCCGACGAAAAUUAUUAAAAAUUAGUAUCGGUUGUAGAGGCCAACACUUAUUAGCGUCGGCCUAUAGAUAACGUAUUAAUGCACUCCCUUGUUUAAUUAAAGCAUCCGCAAAGUAUAUUUAUUUUUUAUUAUAUUAUUUGGAAUACAAAUAAUGCAACAAUUCAAAUUUUUUAUAUAUUUGAAUUGUUAAUGCAAUAAUUGCUCUAGAGUAGUAGGCACACUAUUUUGUUGUCCUGUCUAUAUUCUUUCUAUCAUAUAGUUGUGAAACUCAUGCUAUUGUAGAAUCCUUAUGUGUUUUUGGCUUUACAUGGUAGUAAGGUAAGUAGUACAGCAAUGAUAUGGGCCUGUGGAGAAUGAAGCCAUGUUCAUAUCAUUUUCAAGCCCGACAGUAAUACUUCACCAUGCUAAAUCUGUUUGUGACUGAUACGUUAUUCUCAUGUGUAGAUUAUAGAGAAGGACUUGUUUAGAUUGUUGAAGGAAAAUCUGGGUGCAAAUUUUAAUACCUUUGUCUCAGAAAAGUUAACUUUGGUGCCUGGGGACAUCUCUCAAGUGGACUUGAAUUUGAAGGACUCUGUUCUCCGUCAAGAGAUUUGUAAUCAAACUAAUGUUAUAAUUCAUUUUGCUGCCACAACUAACUUCCGUGAAAGGUAUAUGUAUAUAUAUGAUGUAUUUAUAACCUGAUCUAUAUAUGUGUUUGUUUCAAAAGUAAAUUAUCGUUUAAUUUCUCACUGUCCCUUUAAUUACAAUCAAACAAGUUAAAUAUGUUCUUUUAUCUUUAACUCUCAUUAUUGUAUGCAG